rnacentral:lncRNA from 1 species
UUUUUUUUUUUUAGUUUCAAGUUAUACAUGACAUAAACCAAGUCAUUCAUCUUUUUUUUUAAUAUAAACAAUUUCUUCCUUUUGUAUGAACAUAUAUACAAAUAUGAAAUUUUAAAACUAUACUAACCAAAUAAAGAAAAUUAAAAACCACAGAGAACUUGAAAAAGUUGAGUUAGCAUUUCAAAUAGCUCCAAUUACUACUACAAAAAAAUCAUGAAAUAGAAACUAAUUUUUAGUGACAAAAAAUAAUUAGUUGCUAUAGUGACGAAAUUAGAUACCAUUUUAGAGACUAAAAAAUUUUUGGUUUCUAAAUUAGUUUUUAUUAUCGUUAAAUGGUUUCUAAAUUGGUAUCUAAUUAGCAACCAAGGAGUAGGUUGUAGGAUGAUGGAGCGUUGACGACUAUGUAUUUGAUGGUUAUGGUGCUCGUCGCUUCCCCAUCCAAGAAGGUCGUGUGUAGCUCCUCACAUCCUCACACUUCGACAUGGUCCCCAUUGGAACCGACGAGGCAUCCAUCGAAGGGUCAAAGCUGAUCGGGGGGAAUUUGGAGGCCGAGGUACGUGUCCCAAAACAUGACGUCCACAGAGCUUCCUUGGUCAAUCAACACCCAAUGUACAUUACGCCCCAUGGUAACAACUGAGAGUACCACAGGGUCCUCCUCAUGGGGGUACAUAUCUUACAGAUUUGUAGGAGUGAAACAAAGAGAAGGAACUACAGGGGGUCACCGAGUCUGUAAGGAUAAUACCGAUCUCGAGUAUUGCUUCCGAGCUGAUGAAGAAGUCCCCCACCCGAGCAUCCGCCAGCUAUUGUAUUCAGAUCCCCCAUCACGAGAAUUUCAUGGUUGUGCUCCUACGAUUGGUUUCCCCCCUUUCGAUCGAUAUCAAAACUUCUGACAUAUUUCAUUAUAAAACCUUCUUUAACUAGUUUAACAAGCUGAUAUUUCAAGGUCAGACACCUCUCUGUGUCGUGGCCACGACCUUAAUAAAAUUGGCCUUCCUUCUUGCAUCUAAUACAUGAUCGAUUUUCGCAAACUUUUAAGUCAAGAAUGAAAUUACUUCGAGAAACAAUUGAUAAGGAAAUCAGUUUGCCAAAACACAAAGCAAAAAAUCACAGCACCAGAAAAACAAUCGGUUGUUUCGCAGAAACAAUCGGUUGUUUAUACCAGUUCACAACUAACAAAACUUAAUUUAAAGAGAUUAAGGAUAGAGAGAAAGCACACAGAGGUUUAUACUGGUUCACUCUAAACCAGAGCUACAUCUAGUCUUCCUAGAAACCAUUGGGGAAUCCACUAAGCAAUCAACCCUAGAUCACUUACAACACAACCAAAGAAGUGACCUUGAUCCCCUCAAGACACACACUUCCUUUGGUCCAGCACAACCAUACUAAGAAUGCUGAUCUUGAUCCCCUCAAGAACACAUAACACUUCUCAGCAAACACACAAGGUUCUUUCAAAAGAUACAAAGGAUUACACUUGUUACAGAACAAAUCUGAAAUCAAUACAAGAUGAAAAAUCCUAUCUCACACUUCUUUGAUCAAACUUAAUCUCUAAGCAAUUCUCAACUUUUCAAAAUCUCAAUCUCUUGAAAAACUCAAAUAUGUUUUUCUGUAUAUAUUCAAAGUUGUUGUUUGUUAUCAAAUCUUAACAAGCUAUUCAUUGCAUUUAAAGUUUGGUCAAAGAAUUAAAAACUGGAGCGUAAACAGUUAGAAAAUCAUUUAAUGCUCAGUCAAAGCACAAAACAGUUUUUUGUUAUGGUACCAAAACAAACAAUUUGUUGUUUCCACUAAUCAAUCGGUUGUUUUGGUUUUGACAGCAAGUCAACCAUUGAAAACAGUUUUCAACCUUUUUAAAAACUCCUAAGUAUAAAACAAUCGGUUAUUUCGACAAAACAACAGGUUGUUUUUCACUUAGUUUGAAAAACACUUUUCUUUUAAAAGGAUUGAGAAUACUUAUGUUUUGGAUUCAAUCAAGAGUGGAUAAUACAUAAAAUCUACCCCAUAUCCUAACUAAAAGGCAGCUCAGCAACAACAAACACAACUAGCCUUUGAUCAUCCUUCAAAGGGUUUGGAUUCUUCAAAGCUUGAACACACUUGGUUCAACAUAUUAAAUUAGUAAUAUUAAGUGUUACAUUAAUAAUUAUAAUAAAGAACAUUAAUAUGAAGUAUUUAAUUAUUCAUUAAAUACAAUAAUAGAUGUAAUAAAUACUAUUACUGAAAAGCAUUUAACUAUAUUUAUUAAGUAAUUAAUUGAUUUGUGGAAGACAACUAAGUCCAUUUAAGAGAUCAAAUGUUUGAAUUUAAAGAUAUUGUCAUGACAUAAAAUAAUUUUACUCGAAAUUAAGUAUUUUAUUAGGGUUUAAUCUUUAUGUUUAUCUAUAAUAAUAUAUAAAGAAAAUUCUUUUUUUUUUCUGUACACAUCUCUUUUUCUAAUUUUAUCCUUUAUGAAAAAUAUGAUAAAAUUAAAUUUAAAAAUUUGAAUUAAAAAAAAACUAGAAAACACAAUUUUUGAAUUUGAAAAAAAAAAUUACAGAACACAAUUUUUGAAUUUAAAGCUCAAAAUUUGAAUUUGAAAAAAAACCUAACAAUAUACAAAGAGGAUUAUGUACACAUUUUUGUUUCUAAUUUUAUCCGAUUUUAAAAUAUGACAAAUUUUAAUUUGAAAAAAAAAACUAAAAAUUCUAAAGUAAAAAUUUGAAUUGACAAAAAAAUAGAAAACAAAACUUUUUUAAUAUAAAGGAUAAAAAGGGAGAAUGAAAACACAGCUAUCAUACAAAUCUAUCUUCUUUUGUCUUUUUCUUAUAUCAUUCGAUUCUUUUGUAUUCACUGCAUAGCAUGCAUUCAGCCUACAUAAUCAUGUAAUUGUAAAUAUAUGUAUAUUACAUAUAUCUUUAUUUUAUAAUUUAUUGAUAAUUGACAUUUUUCAAUAAGAAACUAAAUUAGUGAAACAAUGUAACAUUUAAAAGGAUGAUACAUUGAUUAAAUCAAUUUUAACCAACAAAUUGAAAUAAUUUUACAUUGAUAAUGAUAUUGACAUUUUUUAUUAAUAUAAAAUUUUAAUGAUUAUAAUUUCAAUCUUCUUACAAAACAAAAUAUCUAUAUUUAUAAGAUUAUUAUAAUUUAUUUAAUUUCUUUUAUUGUAGAUUAUAUAUUAUUAAUAUGUCAUAAAUACAUUACAUAAAUAUUUUAAAAAUUAAGAAAUUAUAGAUGAAGUGUUUUACACUGAAUUAAGAAAACUCCUAACUUAUGUUUUCUAUUUAAAUAACAUAAAUUUAUUCAAUUAUUAUAAUUUAAUAAAUAUAAAUAUAUUCAUUAAUAUAAAUUUUACUUCUUAUGAAUAAGAAAUUUUGAAUAUCCAUCUUUAUUUAGUCUCUCAUUUAAAUAAAAAUUUAUUAUUACAAAAUGGUAAUAUUACACAUUGGUAUUUUCUUCUAUAUAUAAAUAUAUAUUACAACUUGUAAUUAUAGUUGUAAAUUUAUCAUCUAUUAAUUAAUAAAUUAUUAUAAAUUUAUAGUAUAAUAAUAUUAUAUAAAAAAAUAAUUAAAAAGACACGCACACAAUUUUUGGUAGUACGUGAGAAAAUGUAUAUAAAGAAAUAUUAGUUAUUUAAAUAAAUAUAUAAUUCUGCAUCAUAAUUAUAAAUUAGUUCUUUCACUUUACUGAUACCAAAGUAACAUUUUCCGUUUUAACAUACUCCUCUCUAAUAUAUUACCUUUAACUUUCCCCAUUUUAGUGUUUCGAGAUCCAAACGCACAUAAACAAAGCAACACAGAGAUUCUUUUCUCUCUCUCUGACACCGCACAAAAAGCAGCACAUCCUUAUAAAUGCCAUCACUCUUUGUAUGAGCAAACUGCCAUCAAAACAAAGAUGCUUCUCUCACCUUUUCUCACACUCACUAUCCUUCUUUUCUUCUCUUCUUCUUCUUCUUCUUCUUCUUCUUCUUCUUCUUCUUCUUCUUCUUCUGUCUCUGCAAUCUAUUCAACUCCAACAUGUUCCAACAUAGUGCCGUUCAAAAAUCGCACCGACAGAAUCUCCAUAACUGACUAUGGAGGUGUUGGCGACGGCCGCACUCUGAACACGAAAGCGUUCAGAGAGGCUGUGUACCGCAUUGAGCACCUGAAAAGGCCCGGAGGCACGGUGCUGUACGUGCCUCAGGGAGUGUACGUGACGGAGAGCUUCAACCUCACCAGUCACAUGACGCUUUAUCUGGCUGCCGGUGCCGUUAUCAAAGCCCAACAGGUAAGGUUAACUCGUUCGUUCAAUGUUCAUCUUCUCAAAAAUAAAUUCUUAAUUCAAUUUUUUAAGUUUUGUUAAAUUUAAAUUUAACUCUUUUCAGUUAAAUUUUUAUUAAGAAUUAAGUUUUAUAAAAUAUCCAAAAGAAUUAUACUUUUAAAUUAAAUUUUUAUGCUUUGAUUUUACAGUAAAUUGGAGUUUAAUGAUGGUUAUUUUGUAUUGAUAUUGCUUAUUUCUCUUCGCAUCAAAAAUAAGAAAGCUGUUUAGUUAAGUUUUAAUUUUUUUUUAUAAAUCUAAGUAUUUUUAAUUGAUUUUUUUGUUAAAAAAAUUAUUUUAUUAAAAGUUUAAAUUUUUGUAUUUUUAAUUUUAUUUCUACUGUUAAUGGGAUUUAUACGGUUGAAUUUUAUUUGGUUUUGGUAUUUUUAAUUGAAUUUCUACUGUUAAAUUUUUUGUAUUUUUAAUGGAAUUUCUACGUUUGGUUUUGCUGUCUCAAAUAAAAUAAGAUGGAUUUGUAUAAUCUUAAUUAUCUUCGUAAAAGUGAUAACAUUUUAUUUUAUAAAUUAAAUAUUAAAAUAAAAAUCAAAUCAAUUAUGUAAAAUACACAAAAUCUAUUAUGUCAAAAUAUACAACAAUAAUUAUGUUUGUUAAAGAUAAUUAGGGUUUGAGAAUUAUUUUUUAUUAUUUAAUUUUGUGGUGUUUUAUUUGAGAUAGUAAUGUCAUUCCAAUUGACAAGAACUUGGAAAAUAUAAUUUUUUUGGACAUUUUAAUAGAAUAAUUUCUUUAAUAAAAAUUCAAUUUUGAAAAUAUUUAAAUUUAUGAAAAAUUUAAAAUUUAAUUAAUUUUCUUUUUAUUUUUCAUGUAGGAGUGCAUAAGCAAUAACAACAUUCAUGUCAUUCCACUUAAUGGUAAAAUUAGAUGAUAAAGACUUAACUGAAAAGUGUAAAAAUUUUUAAGAAGAAAUUUAAAUAAUUAAAAAUACUUAAAUGAAUGAGGAAUUUAACACUUAAUUAUUAUUUUUUGUUUUCCUUUAUUCUAUUAUAUUUUCUGGUGAAUUUUGAGGGAAUAUGUGAUUUGUUGUUUGGGUUAUGUUUUUUUUUUCUUAAAUUUGAGUUUAUGUCUAUUGUAUUUUAAGAUUAUGAAAAACAGAUAAUAUAAAAUAAUUUUGUAAGAAAUUGUUGAGAAUAUAUUUUUUGUACACAUGUUUGAAUAUAUUGUUUUUCUUUGAUUGAAAUUUAUUACAUAUUAUAAAAGUUAGGAAACUUUUGUGAACAUAUUAUUUUAUUUGAAAAUUUAUAAAUUUUUGUAGGUUUCAUAAAUUGUUUUAAAGAUUCGGUCGUAAUUUUCGAAUUUUAACAUAUAAAAAUGUAGUAGAGAAAUGUACUGCAGAAUUUAUUCAUAGCAUUCCUCCAUUUAUAAUAUCAUUUAGAUAUAUUUUACAAUAUAUAGUUUUAAAUUAUUUAUUUUUUGGUAAUAAGUUUCCUUUUUUGUUUAAAUUAAUGAUGUCUAACUUUGCUCUAUGUUUUCCUUUUUUGUUAAAUUAUUAAAUAAUUAAUGUGUAAUUUAUUGUUUUGGAACUGAUUUAAUAAAUAAUUCUUUUAGAAAUUAAAAUAAUAUAAACACACUAAGUGUUUGUUUGAUUAAAAUUUAAUUUUAAGAAUUAACAUAAUUAAUACUUUAAUUUCUUUAAAAAUUAAUAAUAGUGUGGAAUUCAUUACUUUAAAAGCAACUUUGUAUUAAAAGUAUUUGUUUGUUGACGAGAUUGACCUUGCUAAUAAAACAACAUUUAAAUUAUUUGAAAAUGUAACUCGUUUACAAAUUAAUUUUUUAUUUAACCAAGCAGAAAUCACGCAUUUUUAUAUAUAUUAUCUUAUUUUAAUUAUUUAAAAUUUAUAUUAAUUGUAGUUUUAUUUCUUUAAAUAAAAAUAUUAUUAUAAUCAUUAUUAUUUAUAUUUGAUUUGUAAUUUAUAAUUUAGUAAUAGAGAUUGUAGAUUUACAUGAAAGAGAAGAAAAACAAUGCAAUUAUAUGAUAAAGUAGUAAUGUGAGAGAUUAUUUUAAGUAGUUAACAAUCUUUACUAUCUUUAAAAUUUAAAAUUUUAAAAUAAAAUUAAAGAUAAAAUAAAAAUAUAAAAUGGUAUAUUUAAUUAUAUAUUAUAUAUAGUUAUAAAUUAGAUUGAAUUCUUCAUAGUUUUAAACUCUUUCUACAAUGUGGGUUGUUUUCCAUAUUGUAAUUUGAAUCCUUUAUGUCUUUUUUUUCUUUGUUGUCUAUCAAAGAAAUACCCAAUUAUGAAUUAUGAACAUGAUGAGAUAAUGUGAACCUAGAAAUAAUUUAGCCAUGAAAUUAUAUAAAAAAUUUAAAUCUAACACUAAAUUUCAAAUUAAAAUAACUUGAUAUAUUAUCUUAUUGAGACUAAGUAUGUCGGUGUACAUGUUGGAAGCAGACAAAAACACAUGUAUACUAAUGAAAAAGAGAAAAAAAUUGCAUUAUCAUUUAUUAAUAUAAAUUGUGUGAACAAUUUGUGGUAUAUUUUAGUUUUUCUAGUUCAAAAGUAGAGUCUCUAGACCCCACUUGUCACUAAAACCAAAGCGAUAAAGACUAUAUAGUUCCGGCAAUGCAAAAAGCCAGCAAAUGCCAGCAUAUUUCAGGAAAACCCCAAAAAUUGAAUGGCAGAAUGUGAUACACCAUAAAAGUCAGUUACCAUUUGUGAGAGAAAAAUAAGAUCAAAUGAAGGAUCAAUACGAUGUACUUGUGAAUGAUGAGAGGAACAUUGUACAUGAUAAAGGAUCUGAUACAGUGAUGUAUAAUGAAUCAGUCAAUUGGGAAGUGUUUAUGUUAAUGUUCUAGUCUGAAUUAUGUAAGGUUGGAAAUAUAGAUUAUUUAGAUAGCAAAUAGGUUGCCCAAAACAAAGAAUUCACAUGAAUAUGAAUUAUGGUGGACCUAAAGCUGAAUGGAUGAAAAAAAUUGAUGGGUCCCUUGUCUGCAUAGAUGCAUGUGCCUGAUAUUUAAAGCUUUCACAACUGACAAUGGCUUUGUUGGACAGCUGGUUCCUUGGCUAAUAGCCGUUACUGAUGUCUGUCUUGGAUUAUUUAGUGAACAAUUCAAACAUGAUUUAUUUAUUUAAAAAAUAAAAAUCAAAUGAGGGGUAUCAUGUAAAUUGAUGUAAAACUAAAUUUGAGUACUAUUCAUAUGUUCUUGGGUCCAUUGCAAUGUUAAAUGGAAAGGACCAUGUUAUCAGCAUACCUGAGAAUAAUACUUUUCUGUUGAUAUAUAUUAUGAAAAAUGUUACUUUCAAAUUGACAACUUUACAUGAAAAAACAUCAGUUUAUAAUUAUAAUUUACAUUUCAUUAAAAAGAUAAGUUUUUUUUAAUCUAAUGCAAAGUUAUCAGUACUCAUAUAUUAUUUAGGACAGAGUCAAUUCUCUAAUGAGAUUCUUCCUGAUUGUUUAAUAGUUAGAAAUGGUUUGUCAUCUUGCCUUUUGUGGAACUUGAACGGUAGCAGAAUACAAACUUCAUAUUUAUUUUUUGCUUAUGGUAAUGAACUUGGUUGGAACAAAUAUGUGCUGUGAAUUAAAUAGUGGAAUGGUGAUACUGUAAUUGUAAAGUUAGGACAGAGAGAAGAGAAAAUUACUUGUAGUUAGAGUAUAUAGUUUUUUUUCUAUCAUUUGAGAACUUAGCAUUUGCUAUUUGUGAAAGGAGAAAUUGUUUUUGAAGGGUUUCUAUAAACAGGCUGAAAGUACCUGCCAGAUGGUAUCAGCUUUGUGACUGUUUCAACAUUCAGGUUUUAGAUGCAUGUUGUAAAUCUGUAUAAUUGAACUACACCUAUCAAACUCAUUUGGGAUGUGUAUUUAAGGUGAUAAAUUCAUAUUUUUGCUGCUAGAAUAUGAUUUGAAGUGAAUGCUCCAAGUCCACUGGAAAUCAAAACUCAUCUAUUAUUCCUUCUAACAAGUUUUCUUUUUCUUGAUAGCAAAGGAAACAUGAUAAGAAAACUUCUUUAGAAAAUGUCUCAUUUUUCUUCCCUAGCACACUCUUUAAUGUUGUUCCUCUCUUAGGAUUCAAGGAAUUGGCCUUUAAUUGCACCCUUACCAUCUUAUGGAAGAGGGAGGGAGCUCCCUGGAGGAAGGUAUAUCAGUUUUAUCCAUGGAGAUGGACUUACUGAUGUGGUGAUCACAGGUGGGUAUCAAAUCUUGAAUAUUUUUUGCAAAUUUUGUUUUUUGGGGAAAAUCUUCCUUUCUUGUACUCUUUAUAGACAAACUAAUUUUAAGGGAGCCUUACCCAAUAUUUUUAUAGGUGAGAAUGGGACAAUUGAUGGACAAGGAGAUAUGUGGUGGAACAUGUGGAGGAAGAGAACACUUAAAUAUACAAGACCAAGCCUUGUUGAAUUUGUAAAUUCUCAAGAUAUUAUUAUUUCAAAUUUGAUUUUCAAGAACUCUCCCUUCUGGAAUAUACAUCCAGUUUAUUGCAAGUAUGAAUCAGAAGUAUUUUUAUUUAUAGUAUUUUCAUUUUUUUCAUCACAAGUUGCUUGAAACAAACUAGAAAGGAAUUUGAGAGGUAGAGAUGUUUUCAUGAAAUAUAAUCUCAAAACCCUGUUCCUUCUUUGCAGCAAUGUUGUGGUUCGAUAUGUCACAAUUUUGGCUCCUCGUGACUCUCCCAAUACUGAUGGAGUUGAUCCAGGUAAAUUCCCUCUAAAUAAGCCACAUCUUGUGCAUAUAAUAGUGAACUAGUUUUAGUUUUAGCUUGUAAUAAACAGUCAAAUCCUAAUGCAACCAACUGAUCUCAUUAAGUUUCACUUGUUGGUAUUGAAACAAGUGAAACUGUUAGGGAAGGAAAGUAGUGGUACUAUUAAUGUUGAUUCCACUAAUGCUAUGUGGCUCUUAGCUUUCAAGUAUGAUUUUGUAUGCUUUCAUGGUACAUGAAAUAACAAUUCAACACUAUCAAGUGUUAUGUUGUGAUUGCCAUGAGGUGUUUUGACAAGGCCUAUGUACUAAAUCAUCUGCAUAAUUCAUUUAUGCAGAUUCAAGUUCAAAUGUGUGCAUAGAAGACUCAUACAUAUCAACAGGAGAUGAUCUUGUGGCAGUGAAGAGUGGAUGGGAUGAGUAUGGUAUUGCAUACGGUCGCCCCAGCUCUGGCAUCACCAUCCGACGCCUGACCGGAUCAUCGCCGUUUGCCGGCAUUGCAGUUGGCAGUGAAACCUCUGGUGGGGUGGAGAAUGUGCUUGCUGAAAACAUUAACCUCUUCAACAUGGGAGUAGGCAUCCACAUCAAGACCAACAAAGGCAGGGGAGGGUUUAUCAAGAACAUCACAGUGGCUCAUGUGUAUGUGGAGAAUGCAAGGCAGGGAAUAAAGAUUGCAGGUGAUGUAGGAGGGCACCCAGAUGAGAAGUAUAAUCCUGAUGCUCUCCCUGUUGUGAAAGGCAUCACAAUUAGGAAUGUUUGGGGAGUGAAGGUUAACAGAGCUGGUUUGAUAAAUGGACUGAAAAAUUCUCCUUUCACUGAUGUUUGUUUGUCUGUUAUCAACUUCCAUGGUAUGGCAGGAUCAAGGGCUCCUAAUUGGAAGUGUUCUGAUGUGUCUGGAUUUGCUUAUCAGGUUAGUCCUUGGCCAUGUUCUCAGCUGCACAGCCAAGAACCAGGAUCCUGUGCCAUUUAGACAUCUUCAUUCUCUUCUAGUAUUGUUCUCAUUCACUCAUUCAAUCACCAUCUUUCCAAUUGUAUGAUAUCAUAUCAAACAAUAAUACCCUACCUAGUAUACUAUUAAUAAUAUUUACCUUAAUUUCAUGCUGAGAUUUUGAUUUCUGCUAUGUUUGGUCCAUCAUUGUUGAUAAACAUGUUCGAAUUCAUAGAGGUUUAUAAUUCUUAACUGAUCUUUCCUACUGAAAAUAAGAGAAAUUUUCAAUUUUCUUAAAAGUAGUUGUUUGAUAAAUUUUAUAUAAACUAUUGAAUUAAAAUAAUUCAAUAAUUAACAGACUUUUUUAUUAUUAAUAAUAAUUUUAUGAAUUUAUUUAUCUAUAUUGCACUUGUCAACGAGUCUGCUUUUUAAUUUGAAUUUAUCAAUUCUAUUUAUCAUCUUAAUGAAUGAUAUUUGUAUUUUUAAUAUUUAUUUCAAAAUUUCAUUUUAGUUAUUUCAAUCUUAGAAAAAUAAUUGCUAAUAUAUUCAAAAUAUUAAAUACAUACUCAUAUUUACUUAAACUAUUAAUUCAAAUUUGAAAAUUCAUAUUUUUCCAAAACACUACAGUACUAAAAAAAUAAAUAAUUGUAACAUGUGAUCUUGUUAGCAAUCACAUCAAAAUUUAAUUUAAUAUAUUAUUUCAUGAUAUACAAUUAACUUAAUAUUAAGAAUUGUAUAUCAUUAAUUAGAAAUUGUAAACUAAAUUGACAACUUUAUUGUAUUAAAAAAAAUCUUUCACAAAUAUAUAUAUAUAUAUAUAAUUUAGAAGUUUUUAAAAUUACAUGAACUAUGAACUAAAUAAGAAUGUUGUGAAAAAUGUAUUUUAUAGAUAGAUAAUAUGAAAAAAAAUUAAUCUUGUUUUAUUUAAGAAAAUCAUAUAUAGAAUUGAAGAAUUAAAACUAAAUUUUGUUUUGAAAAAAAAAAAAAACAAACUUACCUUAAAUCAUGUUUUGAUAUAUUAAAAAUAUAUAUGAAAUAUUUUAAAUAAGUUGGAAUAAAAAUAUGUUGUACAAUAAAUUUAAAAUAUUUAGUACUUUUUAAACAUUGUUAAAGUUAAAAAUAUUUUUUUGUUUUAAAAAAAUUGAAAUUAUGUCUGUGAAGUAGCAUUUAGGAUUGAUACAAUUAUAAAUAAAAGGGGUAUCAUUUAAACAAUAUUUAUAAAGUGAUAAAUAAGUAAAAUUUAUACAUGAUUAGAAAAUAAAAAUGUAGGAAAAGUUAUCAUCUAUGAGAAGCUUUGCCAUAGAGUGGUCUUCUUCUGGUCGUCCUUGUGGUUAUUGUUCGUUUGGAAUGGUAGGAAGGGGUGGAGGUGAAAUGUCAUUGCCAAUGUCUUCGACUUUAUUGUCUUCUUUUUCUCUGAUUUUUGGACACCUGUGAAGGCAUUGUUGGUCGAUAAUACUGCAUGAAUGACAUUUGAUUAUAGGAAGAUGAUGGGGAGGUCCUGGUAGAGGUUGCAAAUGGAUUUGAUGGACCAGCAAUAAAUUUUUGUUGAGAUGGAAAUGUUGAGUAGUUGAAAGGUGGUUGAUGGAAUGACAAGUGAGGUUGAUACACAUAUUCAAACAAUUGAGUUGGGUGGACGAAAAGAUUGUUGUUGAAACAAUUCAACUUGAGAAGAAGACCUGACAUGAUGUUGAUAGUGAGGUUGUGUAGUCCCAUGUGGCAUAUCAUACUAUUUUGAAAAUAUGUGUUAAUUUCGGAUGAGUCAAUGAAAAAUAAUAAAUGAUUUUGUAAUUGAACUUACAUCGUCAUCAGACAAUGACUGUAUAGGUGAGAUGUAGCGGAUAGUAGAGUUGAUGUAACAUUGCAUGUAUGUUGAAUUGCCAUGCAAAUGGUCAUUUUCCUUAAACUGAUUUUCUUGAAUUAGAGGGUUAUGAAAGUCAUUCCACAUAGCUAUUCAUGCGGCAUGAUAUUGUGGCUAGUAUCGACCAGUCUGUCCUCUCAUAUCCUCUAUGUGAAGUUGAUCAAGGUUUGAUUGGUCCCUUGGAAUACUCUGUUAAAAUCCAAACUAAUGCAUAACCCUAUCAACCUAAUGAAAUUCAACCGUUGUGAAACAUAUGAGAGGAACUAACGCUCGUGUAAUUGGGGAAACCCCAAUAUUGAUCAACCGCCUAACAUAAUCCACUUGAUAUGGAGUCCAAAGAAAAAGUAAAUAAAUGUUCAAAACAUCAGUAAUAUGAAAUUUUCAGUUAAAAUGGUAUGUAAGUUUAGAUAUUGUUUACAACCUCUCUAGCUUUAAUGCCAUCAAACAUGGCCCAUAUUUGGGGAACAAUGGUUCCUCCUGUAUGUGUUCUAUGUAUCCUCCGAGUCCACCCAACGUAAACAAAGGAAUAUAAAGAAAUUUACAACUAAGAUAACUUGAAUUUAAAUUUGUUUUCUUGUCUCAAAAAUUAAUACAAAAAAUAACAUGUCUUUUCCCGAGAGGGAAGCCAACGCCUUGUUCAACUUUUUUAAUAAGUCAAUGUUUGAAGUUGUGAAGAAAUUCAAGUUAGGCGUUCCAUGCCCAACAAUGUAAAAGCAGCGUGCAACCUCCAAUGUUAUCAUGAUUAAAGUUUAUUCCGUGAUCAAGCGCACGAUACAGAGAAGCCAAUACAACUGACCCCAACUAUAAUUCCUGAUGUUGUUCAAGUCAACCAACAAUAAUAGGUACAUUAAAUGUACCUUACUACCUGAAGUAUUUGUUGAUCAAGGAUGAUCUUGAAGCUUUGAUGUCUCCAAAUCCAUGGUGUUUGAUGGAAGGCUGGAGUUGCUGCUUGUGUGGGUGGAUUUUGGGUAGAAGGAUGUGUAAUCCACUCUUUGUUUGAAUCUAAAACAGUUUGUGUUGAACCAAGUGGUGUUCAUGUUUUGAAGAAUCCAAAUCCUUUGAAGGAUGUUGAAGCCUCUGCUAUGCUUGAUGUUGCUGUGUUGGUUUAAGCUUUGUUCUGGGGUAGUUUAUAUGUUGUAAUCCACCCUGUGAUUAAAUCUAAAGCAUUAGCAUUCUCAAUCUUUGCGAAAGUAAAAUGUUUUCAAACUAAGUUAAAACAACCGAUUUUUUUGUCGAAACAACCGAUUGUUUAUACUUAGGUGUUUUGAGAAAAAGAUUGAAAACUGUUUUGAAUGGUUGAACUGUUAAGUACCAAAACAACCGAUUGAUUCGAGGAAACAACCGAUUGUUUGUUUUGGGACCAUAACAGAAAAAUUGUUUUCUCUUUGACUGAGCUUUAAAUGUUUUAACUGCUUACGCUCCAGUCAUUAAAUGCUUUGACCAAUCUUUUAAUGCAAAUUAAGAGUUUGUUAAGAUUUGAUAACAAACUACAUCUUUGAAUAAAUUCAGAAAAACAGUUUUUGACAAUUAAGAAUCUUUGACAAAAGUUUUUCAAGAGAGUUUUUCAAAGUGCUGAGAUUGCUAAGAGUUUGUGAUUGAUCAAAGUGUUGGAAUAGGAUUCUGCUUGUAUUGAUUUCAGAUUAUCUUCUGUAACAAGUGUAAUCCUUGUACUCUGUUGAACAAUUCGUUUUCUGUGUUUGUUGAGAUUGGCUGUGUGUUCUUGAGGUGUUCAAGAUCGGCAAUCUUAGUGUUGGCCAAGGAGAGUGUGUUUCUUGAGGUGUUCAAGGUCAUUCUCUUGGUUGUAGUGUAAGUGAUCAAGUGGUGAUUGCUUAGUGGAUAUCCUCAGGGUUUCUGAGAAGACUGGAUGUAGCUCUGGUUUGGAGUGAACCAGUAUAAACAACUGUGUACAAUCUCUUUAUCUCUAACUCUUUAAAUUCAGUUUAUUUGUUGUUUGCUGGUGUAAACAACCGAUUGUUUCUACGAAACAACCGAUUGUUUUUCUGGUACUAUAGUUUUUGCUUGCUUUUUGGCUAACUGAAUUGCUGAAUCAAUUGGUUCCUGAGAUAAAUUAAUUCUAGUUUUGAAAAGUUUGCGAAAACCCUCUUUAAACAAUUCACCCCCCUCUAGUUUAAAGCCAUCUUUUCUAACAGUUUGGAAUAAAAAUCUUUUUGAAAAAGAUUGUUUUAUAAAGAAGUGAAAAAACAACAAGUUGUUUUAUCGUUUCAAUCAAUUGUUUGACAUUUAGUGCUUUUUAAAAAGGAUUUGAAACUGUUUGACUUGGUUGACUUUGAUGUCAAACCAAUUCAAUCAGUUGUUUCGUGAAUUCAACCGAUUGUUUGUUGAAAAUCCAUAACAGAAUUUUUGUUAUGUUUGCAAAUCAACUUUAAAUAUUUUCUAAGUUAAUAAGCUCCUGCUUUAAAUGUUUUUAACAUCUUUUGGAGUAUUUAAAAGAGGUUGUUAUACUCUCUUAAAGAUUAAUACAAUUUUGAGACAUUUUGUGAAAGUGUGAAAACAAAUUUGAGUUUUCAAGAUUUGCAUUCAAGCUUUUGGGUUUUCUCAAAGAAGUGGAAUAGGAUUGCUGUAAUCUUUUGAUUUGAUCCUCAUCAGGUGUAAUCCUUUCUAUAUCUCUUGUAUUUCUAAAUACUGGUGUGUAAGUGCAGAAUCAGAGGGUGUUCUGAUUUUUUUGGUGUUUGUGUGCCAAAGGAAGUGUGUGACUUGAGGUGUUCAAGGUCACUUCUUUGGUGGUGUGUUUGUAAUCUGGAUUUUGAUUGCAUAGUAGAUACCCAAUGGUUUUUGGGGACUGGAUGUAGCUCUUGGGAUAAGAGUGAACCAGUAUAAAUUCCUUGUGUGUUUUUCUCUUACCUUAAACUCAUUUAAGUUAUGCUUUUAAGUUGUUUUUAAUUCUGCUGAUAUAAACAACCGGUUGAUUUUCUGAUAAUCAACUUAAACAAUUUUAAUUGAUUGCUUUAUGGAUUUCUAUAUCUGUGAUUCUGCUUUGAACUUCAUUAUACCUUCAAAGUUUGCGAAAAUCUUUCAUAAACAAUUCACCCCCCCUCUUGUUUAAGGCCAUAUAUUUUAACAGUAUCAGGCAUCAAUAGGCUUCCAAUAAGUGUUAAUAUGUGGGCUCAAACAUGUGGAACAAAAACAUCGUUGGUUGCAUGAUAUGGCGGUUCUUGAAAAUUUUUGUUAAGACAAUAUAAUUUAAUUGCAUUUCCUUUCACCAUUGUAGUGGGUGGUAUAAAUCCCAGCAACUACUCACAUAAAUUACCACUAGUAAUCCCAGUGACAGCCUCUCCAUCAACAGGUAGACCCAAUAUCAAAUCCACAUCUUCCAAUGUAACAGUUGUAUGAGUCUUUGUUCUCCUCUUUUCCACUAAUGUUGUAAGAAGUAGGUCUUUGAUGUCAAUGUUCUUAAACUUUAACAGAUCUCCAAAACCGAUGUGAUCAACUAAGUCUUUGACUCGCUAGUCAAGUAUCUCCUCAUGUUUUAGUACCCAAAUUGCUUGUCUUUUGGGUCUCAAUAUUCUUUCAUUACCUUCCCAUAGAUCUUUAGUAACAUGUUUCUUUUGAAGCCACAAUAGAAACAUAUCCACGAGAAGGCGAUGAGAUGCCAUAAAAUUCUAAUAAGAUAAAUCUUGAAAAUUAUAUUCAAAAUAUUAAUUAUGCUUAUGCAACCAUAUUUAUUGUUAAUAUCAUAUAAUAAAAACUUCUCUAGCGUGAAGGACCCUGUUAAUGAUAUUCAUAAGACCGUAAAAAAAUCAUAUGUAAUAAUAUAAUAUAAAAAUAUUCAUAAAACCACAAAAAAUAUCUUUUAUAUCUAAAUUAUAUAAAAUAAUGGAAAGGUUUGAUGUAUUUCAACAUCAUAAAUACUAUUUCUUAUUCACGUUUUUUUUUGUAUAAAAUAAACAUAUAAAAUGCCUAUUAAAAUAUUUUGAUGCAAAAACACAUUAUGGUCAAUUUUGCUAACUUACUCCAUGCAAAAAUCAUUCACCGACAACCAUUACUUUAAACUGACGCAAAAAAUUAAAUGAUGAUAUCAUACCAAAUACACAAAAAAGGAAAUGACCUCUAAAAUGCGUCAAGACCACAAUAUUAGAAUGGAUGGCUUUAAACUAGAGGGGGUGAAUUGUUUAAAGAGGAUUUUCGCAAAAUUUUAAAACAAGAAUGAAAUUAUCACAAGAAACAAUUGAUAAGAAAUUCAGUUUGCCAAAACAGCAAUAAAAAACAGUAGUACCAGAAAAACAAUCGGUUGUUUAUACCAGCAAACAACAAACAAAACUGAAUUUAAAGAGUUAAGGAUAGAGAGAUUGCACACAGAUGUUUAUACUGGUUCACUCCAAACCCAGAGCUACAUCCAGUCUUCUCAGAAACCCUGAGGAAAUCCACUAAGCAAUCUCACUUUGAUCACUUACACCACAACCAAGAAAGUGACCUUGAACACCUCAAGACACACACUCUUCUGGGCCAACACACCAAUACUAAUAUUGCUGAUCUUGAUCCCCUCAAGAACACACAUCCAAUCUCAGCAAACACAGAAACGAAACUUGUUUCACAAAGUACAAGGAUUACACUUGUUACAGAAGAUAAUCUGAAAUCAAUACAAGCAGAAUCCUAUUCCACAAACUUUGAUCAAUCACAAACUUUCAGCAAUCUCAGCUCUUUGAAAAACUCAAAAACUCUUAGCAAAAACUUGUCAAAGAUUAAUUCUCAAAUCUGUCUUUCUGAAUUUAUUCAAAGAUGUAGUUUGUUAUCAAAUCUUAACAAACUCUUAAAUUGCAUUAAAAGAUUGGUCAAAGCAUUUAAUGACUGGAGCGUAAGCAGUUAAAUCAUUUAAAGCUCAGUCAAAGAGAAAACAGUUUUUCUGUUAUGGUCCCAAAACAAACAAUCGGUUGUUUCCUCGAAUCAAUCAGUUGUUUUGAUUUUAACAGCUUAACCAUUUGAAAAACAAUUUUCAAAUCUUUUCUCAAAACAUCUAAGUAUAAACAAUCGGUUGUUUCGACAAAACAAUCGGUUGUUUUAACUUAGUUUGAAAACAUUUUACUUUCACAAAGAUUGAGAAUGCCUAUGCUUUAGAUUCGAUCAAUGGGUGGAUUACAACACUCAAACUACCCCAGAUCUAGACUAAACCAGCACAGCAACAACAAGCACAACCAAGGCUUCAACAUCCUUCAAAGGGUUUGGAUUCUUCAAAGCUUGAACACCACUUGGUUCAACACACAACACCACAACUGAAGAUUUCAACUUCAACCAGAUGAGGUAUGUUAACUUGGCACAACUAGUAAUUGCAAGUUGAAGGUAAAUUGGAGUUGGUAUGUUUCUUACAACUAUGAACUUUAAAGAAGAUGGAACUUGGCACAGCUAAGAACUUCAGAAUUUUUGGGCACACCUAAUGAGAGAUUUCAGCAUGAUCACAAUGUUUAGGUAGAUGCCUAUUUAAAUAGAAAUUGUGAACAAAUUGUAACCACAUUUGAAUGGAUGGAAUCUCAUUAUAUCCACCCUUAAUGCUCAAGUUGCAACCUCCACCCGCACCAAUGAAUGUUAAGUUUGAACUCAAACUUAGUGUACCAAGAAAUUGUUGUACCCAUCUCAGCAAAGCAAGAUAUUAUUGUAGCCAUGUGAGGAAAGAAACGAGGUGGUGCAUGCGUUCUCACAUAAGUCGCCAACGGUGUGAGAAACUUCUUCAUUUCGUGCCCUCAAAAAUCGCCAAACGUGAAGGCAACUUCUUCAAUUGUGCCAUGCAAAAUCGCCAAUGUAGAAGGCAACUUAUGUGUUAUGAAAUUGAGAAAAAACAAGUGGUGUGAGUUCAAUGAAACACAGUGUACGUGUACGUGAUUAUUUUUUGUUUGUAGAUUAACUAAGAGAUUGGACUUGUCAUAAUGAAUCAAAAUUCAAAUAAUUAUGUUAGAUUGUAUUGGAGUGAGACACAAUUUUUGUUAUAUAAUAAGAGAGUAAUGGAAUGGAUUUGUGCCUUGUACCCAUAAUUUGUUUUAGUUCAUAUCUCUGAAUUGUUGUAUCCACUUUAAAAAAACUGGGGAGAAGGUUUGUGGGACACAAUAUUUUCUCCGACUAAAGUUCAAACAAAAUCAUAAAGGUGAUGUAAAAUUUCCAUAACAUUCUUGUCUAUCAUCUUAUUUCCUCUUAUUUAGGAAAGACAUAUAUAUAUAUAUAUAUAAGGUAAUGUUAUUUUUUAAAAACACAAAUGGACACGUGGAUGUCGGUGGAACAUCAGUAAGCAAACAUGAAGAAACAAGAAUUAGAGACAUCGUGGAUGACAUAAGUGAAGAUAGAGACAACUACGACUUCAGUUUGGAUGAUGAAGAUUAGUUCAAGAAAUCUUCUUCACUAUAUAUUUUGUCUGGCAAUCAAUCCAAACAUAACAGUGAUUGUGACAUCCAUGAACACAUGUUUUCCAUGUCAAAGGAGGCGACAUUGAGUGCCAUAAAACAAUACCACAUAGACAACAGUUACAAAUUUGUUGUCGUGGAAUCAAAGCCAAAUAUGUGGUUCGGUGCAUACAUCAUGAUGGAGGGUUCCAAUGGAGAAUACAUGCAUCUUUUAGUAAAUUUCCAAGACAAUGGGAGAUAAAGAAUAUUGAUGCACAACAUACUUGUUUGUCAACAAAUCUUUCAGUAGGCCAUGCUAAUUUGGACUCAACCCAUAUUGCGUCCAUGGUGACUUCAGUAAAAGUAAAUCCUUCCAUCCCAAUUAAAAGCUUAAUUGUAUAAAUAAAAAAUCUUCAUGGCUAUAAUAUCACAUAUAGAAAAGCAUGGUUGGAAAAACAGAAAGCUCUUGCUAUAGCAUUUGGCAAUUGGGAACAGUCCUACAAUUAUCUUCUUAGAGAUGGUUUGAAGCAGUAAAACAAAGUAAUAUGGGAACAAUUUUGCAAUAUAUUGUUUCUCCUUGUAUGGUUGAUGGUGUUCAAGAGAAAUCUUGAUACACGUUGGAUCGUGUGUUUUGAUCUUUCAAACCUUGUAUUGACGGUUUCACUUUUUGCAAACCCAUUGUACAAGUUGAUGGGACAUUUCUAACCAGAAGAUAUCAUGCAACAUUGUUUACCGCAAUCGCUCAACAAUAAUCAUAACAUAUUUGCAUUAGUGUUUGCGAUUGUUGAAGGCGAGAGUUGAGAGGCUUUGAUCUGGUUCUUCCAGUUAUUGCGACAAUAUGUGACACCUCAACCGAAUUUGUACAUGAUUACUAAUAAAAAGAACUGACAUAAUUUCAUCAUUACAAUCCAAAGAAUUUGGAUGGGAAGGAAACAACCUCAUUUUCGUGUAUACACCAUAUCGAAGCGAACUUCAAAAAAAAAAUUAAAAAUACCGAGCUCAAAUGACAGUUGGUUAACAUGGGUAAUAACAUUGUUUACCUUCCCUCGUACAUAAUUACGACCUUUUACCAUUUAACUAAUUUCACUUACUUCUUUAUUACAGCUUAUGAGAUGAAAUAACCCACUGUACAUGGUAAGCUAUCAGCUAUGUGAUCUGAGUUCAAGCAAACAGUUUCCUAGAUAGAUUGCAUACCAUUAGAGAAAUGGACUUGGGCAUACGAUGGGGGAAAGAGGUAUGGCCAUAUGACCAUAAAUCUAGUGGAAUGCAUUAACUCUAUGCUUAAGGGAGCUUAUCCCUUGUCGAUUUCCACUUUGGUUAAGGCAACUUUCAAAAAAAUAAAAAAUGGUUUGUGGAAUGAGGCUUCAACAUAAACAUCAUGCUAUGCAUAGGUCAUUAUUAUCCAGAAGAUAUCAUCACAACCUUACUCAUAAAAGACCAACAAGAUUCAGCUAUGUGUUUUGUGGAAAGGUUUAAUGGAGAUAAUUCUAAAUUUGAUGUCCAACAGUUAGCCACCCUCCCAUCAUGAUCGAUGACCUCAAUCAUAUUCAAUUAAAUUAAAUAAUUGGUGGUGUGAUUGUGGCCACUUCCAAGCUCUUCGACUUCAUUUUCGUCACAUUAUUGCCAUUUGUUCCUCUUGUCAUUUACAAAUGACGACAUUCGUUGAUCCAGUUUACAGCCUCCACACGGUUAAAAGGGCAUAUCAAGUUGAAUUUCAUUAUGUUCGAAACGAGGAUUAUUGGCUACUUAUACCAAAUGUCAUAUUUGACCCUCACAUGUGACGCAAAGAGUCAAUUGUUGAACAAGAUGCUUUGAUGUCUUCAAAUCCAAGAGGAAAGCUUGAAGACCUUGUUGUUGGGUGUGUGUGUGUUGUCUAGUUGUUUGAAACUUGUUAAUUCACUCCUUAAGAUGAUCCAAGUUCAUUUGAAUCUUUAACCUUUUGAAAAGAUGUGUUUUCUAAAAAGCUGUCAAAAUUUCAAUAGGUUGUUUUACCUUAGUAGUUUUUGAAAAGGUUUUGAAAAACUUGGUUGACUCUGCUGUCAAACCAAAACAAUCGAUUGUUUCGACAAAACAACCGAUUGUUUUCCUGAAAACCUCAACAGAAUUUUGUUAAGCGGUUUUAAUAUGUUUUAAAUGAUCCUAACUAACUUGGCUCCUUUAUUAAAUGCUUUUGACCACUUGGUGGGUCUAUAUAAAUGUGGUUUUACGCUCCUAAUCUUAAAGUAACAGAAAAAGUUUAUCAAAACAGUUUUUCCAUGAUUUGAAAAAGCUUUGGAUCAUUCUUAAGUGUGUGGAAUAGGAUUGGGUUGUAAUUCUGAACUUUAAGCUUUGUAAUACCUAGGUGUAUUCUAUUCCCUUCUUCCUUGAUUACUGUAUUUCUGUAUUUGUGUUGCCAAGGAGUGUUGUGUGUUCUUGAGGGGUUCAAGAUCAACAUUCUUGGUGUGGUUUGCCAAAGGUAGUGUGUUUCUUGAGGGGUUCAAGGUCACUACUUUGGUGUGUGAUGUGUGUAAUCUGGUUUUGAUUGCAUAGUGGAUUACCCAGUGGUUACUAGGGACUGAAUGUAGCUUUUGGUGUAAGAGUGAACCAGUAUAAAUCUAUUUGUGUGAUUUUCUCUUUCCCUGAUCUCACAUAUAUCUAUUUUAAGUUGUUUUUAUUAACUGCUGAUAAAAACAACCGAUUGUUUCGACAAAACAACCGAUUGUUUUUCUGAUAUCAUCUUAAAACAGUUUUGGGUAUUUGUUUCCUUGAUUCUUUUCUCUGUAAUUCAGCAUUGAUUUUCAUUAUACCUUCAAAGUUUGCGAAAAUCCCUCUUAAACAAUUCACCUCCCUCCCCUCUCGUUUAAGACCAUAUAUCCUAACAUCAAUGACAAGUUACAACUUGUUUGCAUAAUGAAAUGGAUCAACCAAUUCAGAACACGCCAAAAAAAUGUUCUUAUUGUCGCAAUGAAGGUCACAACAGAGGAAACUUUCCAUUUAGAUAGUGGAAUAAUCAUUUGUAAUGUUUUUUUCAUCAAAUAUUUUAAUAUCGUCUUCUUUUAAUGACUUAUAUUCAAUAAUUUAAUUUUUUUAAUACAUUUAUUUUAGCAUAAAUAUAUGUAUACUAUUACUUUUUAUGACCAUAAUUCAAAUUUUUGUCACUUGUGUUCUGUGGACAUUGUAAUUUCAAUUAUUCUUAUAUUUUGGAAUAAAAGUAAAUAACAAGAAACACAAAAAGAAAUAAGAAAUAUUAAAGUAAAAAUAUAUUUUUGUUUGGAAAUAUUUUUAAUUUUGAAUACAUAGGAAUAAACAGAUUGAAAAAUAUCUCCAUACUUAUUUUUCUUUUAAUAAUUUUUUCUCAUCUUCUUACUGUUUUUUAAUGAGUGGAAAAGAAAAAAAAUGGUUUUUUUUUCAUGUUAUUUCAAAUCAUAUUUUAUGUAUUCAGAAAAUAUGUUUUUAUUCAAAAGUUUCUAUUUGAAAAUCAUAUUAUAAAAAUUUUAGAUACUAUUGAACACUAAACACUACUAGAAAAAGUAAAUUUUGCUGAAAAAAAAAAAGAGUAAAGGUGAUAGGUGGACACUAAAUAGUGUCAAAUAAGCCUUCACUAUUAAAAAAAUUAAAAUAAAAUGUGAGAAAGUGUGGGUUAUACUCACGCAAACUUAAAAAAAAAUUAAAAAAAAGGUUGCGUUGGUGAAACGGCCAUUACUAAAAGCAUAAAAAUAAUAAAAAUUUAAAAGUUUGAAGGUUUAACCCACGCUAAACAUUUUAAAAUUAAAUUUAAAUAAAUAAUGAAACACUGAAGGUGAAGCCCACACAAAUAAUUAAUUUUUAUUUAUUUGAAAACUUCUUAAUUGUUAAGGUAUCAAAUCAUUUUGAGAAAAUAUUAAACCCUUUUCAGAGCGAGCUUAGCAUUUCCAGGUUUCAAAUCAUUUUGAUAAAAUAUUAAUGCAUUUUCGAGUCACCGUUCAUACAGGGAAUAGUCAACGUUCAUAACGCUUGAGCAUGAGCAGCAGUGCGUGCCACCGUAAUGGAAUAGUGCAUGUCACCGCAAAAAAAAAGUGAAGGUGAUGGUGGACACUAAAUAGUAUCAAAUAAUCUUUCACUAUUAAAAAAACUUCAAAUAAAAUGUGAGAAAGUGUGGGUUAUGCUCACGCAAACUUAAAAAAAAUACAAAAAAGGAUUGCGUUGGUUAAACGACCACUACUAAAAGCAUAAAUAUAAUAAAAAUUUAAAAGUUUGAAGGUAUAGCCCACGCUAAACAUUUUAAAAUUAAAUUUAAAUAAAUAAUGAAACUCUAAAGGUGAAGUACACGUAAAUAAUUAAUUUUUAUUUAUUUGAAAACUUCUUAAUUGUUAAGAUUUCGAAUCAUUUUGAGAAAAUAUUAAUGCAUUUUCGUGUCACCGUUCAUACAGGAAGUAGUCAACGUUCAUACAGGAAGUAGUCACCAUUCAUAGAACUUGAGCUUGAGCAGCAGUGCAUGCCACAAUGAAGGAGUAGUGUGUGCCACCACAAAAAAAAAGGUGAAGGUGGUAGGUGGACACUAAAUAGUAUCAAAUAAGCUUUUACUAUUAAAAAAAUUCAAAUAAAAUGUGAGAAAGCGUGGGUUAUACUCAAGCAAACUUAAAAAUAAAAAUAAAAAAGGUUGCGUUGGUGAAACGACCAUUAUUAAAAGCAUAAAAAUAAUAAAAAUUUAAAAGUUUGAAGGUUUAGCCUACGCUAAAAAUUUUAAAAUUAAAUUUAAAUAAAUAAUGAAACUAUGAAGGUGAAGCCCACGCAAAUAAUUAAUUUUUAUUUAUUUGAAAACUUCUUAAUUGUUAACGUUUCGAAUCAUUUUGAGAAAAUAUUAAUGCAUUUUUGAGUCACUGUUCAUACAGGGAAUAUUCACCAUUCUUAGCGCUUGAGCUUGAGCAGUAGUGCGUGCCACCGUGAUGGAGUAGUGGGUGUCAUCGCAAAAAAAAAGUGAAGGUGGUAGAUGGACACUAAAUAGUGUCAAAUAAGCCUUCACUAUUAAAAAAAUUCAAAUAAAAUGUGAGAAAGCGUGUGUUAUACUAACACAAACUUAGAAAAAUAAUAAAAAAAAGAGUUGCGUUGGUGAAACAACCACUUUUAAAAGCAUAAAAAUAAUAAAAAUUUAAAAGUUUGAAGGUUUAGCCCACAACAUUUUAAAAUUAAAUUUAAAUAAAUAAUGAAACUCUGAAGGUGAAGUACACACAAAUAAUUAAUUUUUAUUUAUUUGAAAACUUCUUAAUUGUUAAGGUUUCGAAUCAUUUUGAGAAAAUAUUCAACCCUUUUCAGAGCGAGCUUAGCAUUUCCAAGUUUCAAAUCAUUUUGAGAAAAUCUUAAUGCAUUUUCGAGUCACCAUUCAUACAGGGAGUAGUCAUUGUUCAUAGUGUUUGAGCUUGAGCAGCAGUGUGUGCCACCGUGAUGGAGUAGUCGUGCCACCGUGAGAACGCAAAUGGGAGUUCCGCAUUUCCUUCCGUUUUCAAUCUUUGCGAGUCUUUGUGGGUUUUCCCCUAGGUUUUCAUCUCGAUUCCUUUCUUUUUGUGUUGUGUAAUUUUAUUUUUGAUUCCUACUCUCGGUUUUUCCCUAACAUCAUGUUAUUGAUUUUUAGUGGUUUGAAGGUAACACCUUAUUUCCUUCUCAGUGGUAUAAGCCAAUUUCGUGGAGAGGUAAAUCCUUUAUAAGAUACUUUUUCUCUUUUGAGACAAUGAGAUAUUAGAGAAUUUGUUUCACCAUAAUUUUAAUUUGUUUCUACCUCUGUGUGUUUUGUAACUGUUCAUUGCUUGUAUAUGUUGGUAGCAUUUUGGAAGGGACAAUAUCUCCAAUUCUUGUUAUGUUUAUCCUUGAAUAUUGGGAAUUAUUUCAAACUUUUAGUUCCCCUGUCCAUUGGGUUUUGUAUUCACCCUGGGUCGUUCAGUACUGCUUGCUAGUCGAGUGAGUUAGUCUCUUGUUUGUUGUCUUUAGUUUUGUCACUCUCCUAGCCCUCUCAUACUCAAAAUCCAGUUACUUCUCAACAUUUAAGUCAAACCAUGGUUCUGUACACUACCUCCCAUUAACUUAUGGACACUGUUCUUUGUUUAUUCUUACUUAGUCACUUGUUUUAAUCAUCUCUGCAAAAUAUAUUCUAAACUCCUUUCACUCAAAUUAAGAAUAAUAAUUGUAUAUGGAAAAUGUGUUCAUUCUCUUGGCCAGUCAAAUGUAAAAGUUAAUUAGCAUUGAGAAAUAAUAGUAAGUUCAAAAGCAUGUACUUACAACUUCAAGAAAAUCAAAGUUUCACAAGUAAUAACAAUAACUAAUAAAGUAGUAUCACAUAUUAAGCUGGCAAUGGUUCAUUAAAUAUGAUUUUAGGAUAAUGAUUAUAUUAAAUUAACAUACUUAUAUAUAUAUAUAAAUAUUAAUUAAAAUAUUCUUUCAAAAUUAAAGAAGACAAAUGUAUUGACAAUUUGAUUGUUUUAAAACUAUUUUAUUUGUGAGUUUUGAGUUUUGAAAAUAAGAAGGGUGUUGUGUUUGGUUAUGUGGGAAUCUUAAUCUGCCAUGAAGAUUGAAAGUUGUGGAUGAAAAGGUGAAUAGAGCAGGGCGUGGAGCCCCCAACCCCACUUGAUUUCUACGAAAUCUAUUUUAUGUGAGAUUCUGAUUUGGCGAUGUUGUUGUAAGCUUUUGCAAAAUACGAAUAAUAGUGAGGGCAAAGAGGAAGAACAUUAAGAAGAUGAGUAAUUGGGGUGAAAUGUUUAAGCAAAAGUGGGAAAAAGUGAAAGAAGGAGUUGAAAAAGAGUUGAUCUUAUCUACUUAUCUGGUAAAUUCUGAUAAACAUGUUGUGUGAGAGUAUGAGGGAAUCUGACAUGUAGCAUUUGUGGCAACCUGAGUCUUUGCUUUUUGGGUGAUUAACAGAGUUUUGGACCACUUCCACAUACCCAUUUCAACUCUUACAUAAUAAUACAUAUGCUUUUAUUUUGUUUGUUUUUACUCAACAUCAGAUAAUAAUAUCUGUUUUAUUUUGUUUGUUUUUACUCAACAUCAUAUAUAAACUCACAGUUAAAAUGUUUUUUAAACAUGAUAUUUGUAUGAAUUAUUCAAAACUAAUCACCACCACACUUCAAUGCAUUGAACACAAACAAGGUUAGUAUUUAUUUUUCUUAUACAAAUAUUAAUUAUUUAAGAUUAAUCUAUCAACAUUAUAUAAAGGAUACAUAUGUUGCUUACUACAGUGUUAUUGUCAUUGUUGUUAGAAAAGAUGGCUUUAAACUAGAGGGGGGGUGAAUGGUUUAAAGGGGUUUUCGCAAACUUUUCACAGCUAGAAUGAACUUAUUUCAGAAACCAAUUGAUUCAGCAAUUCAGUUAGCCAAAACAGCAAGCAAAACUAUAAUACCAUGAAAAACAAUCGGUUGUUUCUUCGAAACAAUCGGUUGUUUAUACCAGCAAACAACAAACAAAUUGAAAUUAAAGAGUUAAGGAUAGAAAGAUUGUACACAGUUGUUUAUACUGGUUCACUCCAACCCAGAGCUACAUCCAGUCUUCUCAGAAACCCUGAGGAAAUCCACUAAGCAACCACACCUUGAUCACUUACAACAACAACCAAGAGAAUGACCUUGAACACCUCAAGAAACACACUCUCCUUGGCCAACACUAAGAUUGCUGAUCUUGAACACCUCAAGAACACACAGCCAAUCUCAGCAACACAUACAAAACAGAAUUGUUCAGCAGCUUACACAGAUUACACUUGUUACAGAUGAAUAUCUGAAAUCAAUACAAGAGAAUCCUAUUCAGCACUUUGAUCAAUCUCUCAACUCUUUUGCAAUCUCAGAAUAUUUGAAAAACUCUUAUUCUAUGAAAACUUUGUUUCAAGAUUCUUAAUAUAUCAAAACUGUUUUUCAGAAUAUAUCUAAGAAUAUAGUUUGUUAUCAAAUCUUAACAAACUCUUAAUUGCAUUUAAAAUAGAUUGGUCAAAGCAUUUAAUGACUGGAGCUUAUUCAGUUAAAGCAUUUAAAGCUCAGUCAAAGAAAACAAUUUUUCUGUUAUGGUUUUAAAACAAACAAUCGAUUGUUUCCUCGAAUCAAUCGGUUGUUUUGUUACUUAACAAAAACACCAUUCAAAAACAGUUUUCAAACUUUCUCAAAACACCUAAGUGUAAACAAUCGGUUGUUUCGACAAAACAAUCGGUUGUUUCAACUUAGUUUGUAAAACAUUUUGCUUUGUUAAAAUUGAGAUGCUAAUUGCUUUGAGAUUUAAUCUAAGUGUUGAUUACAACAUAGAACUACCCCAGAACAAGACUAAAACAGCACAGUAGCAUCAAGCAAAGCAGAGGCUUCAUCAUCCUUCAAAGGAUUUGGAUUCUUCAAAACAUUGAACACCACUUGGUUCAACAAUCUCCCUCUAUUUGAUGAAGACAAAUCCCUGAUGCUUGUGUUGUUCUUGAUUAAAUCUGACGCAGUUUCUGCAAAAGAACUUUGAGCAAUAUUUUGAACUUUCUGAUAUUCUGUUAGUAUACAGAUAAACAAUUUAAAGCUUAAAACAGUUAAUAUCAGAGCCAAACUUCAUGUUACUCAUGUUUUUAACACUAUGAAAAACAGAAAAUUAACAAACUUCAAACACAACAUAUAUCUCCCCCUAUUUGUCUUCACAAAUAGACAAAGAUAAGAGAUAAAAAGAAACAUUGUUCACAUUACAUCAGAAUAAAACAGCAAUAGCAGAAGGAAAGAAAUUUUAAAAACCAGAAACGAGAACAGACAAAAACAAUCGAUUGUUUCGAUUUUCAAUCGGUUGUUUUUCUUCAAUCUUCUUCAUCAGCAAACUGAAGAUCAAAGAUCUGAUUCUGGACAGCUUCAAUCUGUUCUUCCACUGCCAUAAACCUUGCAUCCAUGUUGUCAAACCUUGUGUCAAUCCUUUGAAAGUUGCUAACACACAGAUCAUGAAGGCUCCUUUGAUUUUCAGCAAAGCUAUCAAGCCUAUUCACCAUGAGUCUUUCAAAAGGUGACAUGGUUUGCAUUCUUUCUCUUUGAUUUCCAUCUUCAGUGCUAGGUCUAGCAUCUUGAAAAACUCCAGUUGGAUCUUCAUGUUGAACAUCCAUAUCAGCAGCUUCAUCUGGUUCAAGAUUGGCAGCACCACUUGAUGAGGCACCAUGAUCACCAUCCUUACUUAACCACUUUCCACCUAUUUUUGUGAAGCCCAUCUUGCUGAGUAAUCCAUUGUUCAACUCUUGAGUUGACUUGACCAACUCAGAAGUUUCAUCUUCAAGAUUAACUUCAAAAUAGAGUAGAAACUUAGAUAUUAAAACAGCAUAGGGAUAAUGGUAAUCACCUAACCUCAUGGCUUUUUUGCAUAUGUUCUUUGAUUAUGUGAAUCCAAUUGAUCUUCACUUUCUUGGUAAUGCAGAAGAUAUAAACCAGAUCUUCUUCAGUCAACACAGAGUGAUUGCUCCCCCUAGGAGUUAGGAUCCACGUUACAAUGUGAGCAAGCAGCCUCUCAUCUAGCUUCAAGCCACCAACCGAACAAGUGCUAACUUGAGUUUGAUUAUUCUUCAAGCAACUUUUGUAGAACUGAAUCUUGUUGAAAUCUUCUACCACACCAAGGUUUCCUUUGUUGAUUCUCAGUCCAGAGAACUUGAGUCCAGCUACAACAGCCCAAACCUCAUGGGUUAUCUCCAUCUCCACGCCUUUUACAUGAGAGACCAAGUUAUUUCCCUCAAACUUCAAGUUGGUGUAGAAAACUCUCACCAAAUCUGGAUAUAUGUUACCUUUGAGCUCCAGAAACUUUCUAAGUGACUGGUCUUUGAGAAACUUCCUCACAUUGUCAAGCUUUUGAUCCUUCAGCCAGUUGAAGUACACAACCUUGGGGUUGUUUAUUUUCUUGACACUUGUUUCAUAUCUAUACUUCUCAAUGAGCUCGGUGUCACCAGAAAACCAGCUUUCAAGCCUUCCUCCAAACCUUACAGCUCUGGUUUUGACUCUUUUAGCAGUGGGAGGAGUUGAUUCCAUGAUAGCAGAGAUGAAAACAGAGAAGAGCAGAAAACCCAGAUUUUUCAAGAGAUAGUGCAAGAGAUGUUGCAAUUGGUUGUUCUUGUUGAAAGAAAUUUGCACCUGAUUUUAUAGUAGUAAGAGAAUCAAAUUGAAUUUAAUUUCAUUCAAUGGGUACCUGAUUUUCAAAGAGAGGACUUGACUCUGUUCUGCACUGAAAAUGUCAGAAAAAGCUGAAAAUCACAUGGUCUUCACAUGUGAUCUUUGACUAGUCAUUAAGGCUUUUGAUUUUCCAAGAUUUUGGAAUAUAUUCCUUUAUGACUGUUGUAAAUCCUUUCUGAACGAGAUCAGCUUUCAACACAGAUCCUUUGGCCAAGAUUCUCCCUUUGAAAAAUAUCUACAACAGCUAGAAAUUCAAAAAUCAGUUAAAUCAAUUUCUACACAGUGCUGUCAAACUCAAAACAAUCGGUUGUUUUUCUGCAGUAGUUAAAAACUUGAUUUUUCAAUUUUGUAAUGCUAAAUUGGUUUGGGAAUAACUUAAUCCCAGAAGCUAGCAUAUAAAACCUAAACAUACAAACACACAAUUAUCCUAGGAAGAGAAUUACAAUAAUAGAAAUAGAAAUGGGAAUUAUGGAAAGGGUUAGUUACCAAUGGGAGAUUGCAAAAAAGGAAUUAAAUUUGGGUAGAUGAUGAGAGGGAUAAGAUGAAACAGAGUGUGGUUUCACAUGAAGAUCAAUAAUUUGUAGCUUGACCAUUUAAAGACGGAAUUAUAGAGAUAUAAGUUGGGGACCCACCCAUGAGAAAAAUAGUGUAUGAGGCAUGAUAUAGCAUCCCUCUCACACCACCUGAGCCUGUAUUUUCUGCUUAUUAACCAUCAAUUACCAUUAUCAUUAUAAUAAUAAAAGUGCUCAAAUUUAAGUUAAUAAUAUAUUAUUACUAUUAAUUAGUAUAAAGUUAUGGCCAGAAUAAAUAUUCGGGUUUUAAUUAUUAUUUGUCAUAUAUGUAUGGUAAAAAGAACUACAUGUAUUAUUAUGUGCUUUCUUUAGUAGAUUUUAAGGGCGUGGUUAGUUUAUGAAUGAAAGUAUGGUAUGUGCACAGUGCAUGGUUAGGAUUCUCCAUUAUCAUCAUGGCUGGUUCUUCAAACCACCAAUUUUGUAUUGGAUGCUGUGGAAAUUUGGCUUAUGCAUUAUUUAUAAAGUAAUUUGCUUCAAGUUACUGUUUAUAAAGUAGCUUUUUCUCUAAACAAAAUUUCUGGGGUAGAGGUUCUCGUUAAUAGAAUCUUAUGCUCGAAGGUUCUAGUAAAGAGACAUAAUAAUAGUUAUUAAAAAAUAAAAAUAGCCUACAAAAUUAAACUCACCCAGAGGUUGACCUAUUCACGGUUUUGGUAUCUUAAAAGUGAAAGAAUUCACGAUUUCUUUCUUUUGUCUAGUGAUAAAUUCAUUCUUGAUCCAACAUGUGUUUCAUAUUUUGGGAAAAAUAUCCUUACUAUCAAGUUCAUUACAAACUGAAUUGUGAUAUGGUAUGAUAGUUUUGUUUUAUAAUUCUUAUAUAUCACUACUCAUAGAGUGAUGUUAUAUUGGCUAAUAAUUUAUUCACUACUAUAUACAUAUAUUCUAUGCAGAAAAAUGGAUCAAAAUUGGAUGUAUGAACGACUUGAUCCUUCAAGGAGACUUAGCAAACAAUUCAUUACUGGAGUGAGUGAAUUUGUUUCAAAGGCAAUGGAUCAAACUUUUUAUACUUUAGAAGGAGGGAUAAGGUGUCCUUGCAUAAAGUGUGUCUGUGAGAAAAUUAUUCCACCAUCACAUGUGAGGGCUCAUUUGCUACGAUAUGGUUUUAAACCUAACUACACAGUUUGGGUUCAACAUGGAGAAGAGAUGUUUGUUGAUCAAGAGCUUUGAAGAAUCCAAAUCCAAGGUGUUUGAUGAAAGGCUGAUGUUGUUGUUGUGUGGGGGUGGGAUCUGGGUAGAUUAAAGUGUGAUCCACUCUUUUGUUGAAUCUAAAACUGAUGUGAAUUGAAACCUUUUUUAAAUUAGAUGUUUUUCCAACUAAGUGAAAAACAACUUGUUAUUUUGUCGAAUCAACUUGUUGUUUUGCUCUUAGGGGUUUUGAAAAAGGUUAAAAGUUGUUUGACUUGGUUGACUUAACUGUCAAACCAAAUCAAUCGGUUGUUUCGUGUUUUCAACCGAUUGUUUCUUUAAAAAUCCUAACAGAAUUCAGUUUUGAAUAGUGAAUCUAUCUUAAAUGAUUUCUAACUUAAUACUCUCCUUCAUUAAAUGUUUUUAACCAAUCUUUGGAAAUAUAAAUAGUUUGUUAUAUGUUUCUGAAAAGUAAGAAACAGUUUUGAGAAAUUCAGUUUGACAAAUUUGAUCUCAAGUUUUCAAGAUUCACAUCAAGCUUUGGAUUUUCAAGUGAGAGUGGAAUAGGAUUGCAAUUGUAUUCUUUUCAGUUGUACUUUGAUCAGGUGUAAUCCUUUUCUCAAUCUUCUAUAUUUCUAUUGUUGUAUUGCCAAGGAGUGUUGUGUGUUCUUGAGGUGUUCAAGAUCAAUACUCUUGGUGUUGUUUGCCAAAGGAAGUGUGUUUCUUGAGGGGUUCAAGGUCACUACUUUGGUGUGUGGUGUUUGUAAUCUAGUUUGAUUGCUUAGUGGAUUACCCAGUGGUUUCUGGGAACUGGAUGUAGCUCUUGUUGUAAGAGUGAACCAGUAUAAACUGCUUGUGUGCAUUUCUCUUUCUCUGAUUUCUUUUAAAUUCUGUUUUUAAGUUGUUUAUAAUUUUACUGGUAUAAACAACUGAUUGAAUCGAAGAAACAACCGAUUGUUUUUCUGUGUUUUUCUUUAAAACAGAUUGUGUUCUUUGCUAACUUUAUUCCUCUUCUGGAUUUCUUCACUGAGUUUCAUUAAACCUUCAAAAGUUUUCGAAAAUAUCUUAUAAACAAUUCACCCCCCCACCCCCCCUCUUGUUUAAGGCCAUAUAUUUUAACAAUGUCAAGUGAGGACAAUGUUGGUUAUGCAUCCAGUAGCCAUGGAAGAAUGAAACUUGUUGAUAACAUUGGUUCAAUGACAUAACAAGUCGUUAUAGUCACAUGAAAAACGACGAUGAAUAUGUAGAAGAGUCAUCUAAUGCAAAAGCCCAAAGGUUUUAUGAUAUGUUAGCAGCUGCAAAUGAACCCAUUUAUGAUGGUGCUACCGAGUCAAAAUUAUCAAUAGCCAUCAGACUACUAGCAGCUAGAACGAAUUGGCAUACACCUGAAAAAUGUUUAGACCAUUUCAUAAAAUUGUUAGUUGAUGUAGCUCCCAAAGAUAAUUUCAUACCAAAGAACUACUACGAAGCUAAAAAAAUUGUGUCAAGUCUUGGAUUGAAAGCCCAAAAAAUUGAUUGUUGUGAAGCUGGAUGCAUGUUAUAUUACAAGGAAGACAACCAUUUAACUGAAUGCAAAUUUUGUCAUCUUCCUCAGUAUUUUCCUCCUAAAGGUAAGAAGGGAAGAUACAAACAAAUUCCAAGGAAGAGAAUGUUUUAUUUGCCAAUCAUCCCAAGAUUACAAAGACUGUAUGCAUCAGUAAAAUCUGCUAAUCAAAUGAGAUGGCAUUUUGAAAACAAAAAAGAAGAUGGCAUACUGUGACAUCCAUGUGAUGGGGAAGCUUGGAAGCACUUUGAUAAGAUAUAUCUGAAUGUUGUUGUUGACCCACGACAUGUGAGACUUGGUUUAUGUUCUGAUGGGUGCACUCCUUAUGUCCAAGCUUCAACAUCCCCAUAUUCUUGUUGGCCUGUAUUUCUUACUCCUUAUAAUUUGCCCCCUGAAGUGUGUAUGACCAAACCAUAUAUGUUUCUAACUUGUCUCAUACCUGAACCAAGUAACCCAACUAAAAAAAUAUAUGUCUACUUGCAACCUCUUAUUGAUGAUCUUAACCAAUUGUGGAAUGAAGGUGUAAUGACAUAUGACAUCUCUACAAGAGAAAACUUUGUCAUGCGAGCUUGCUUGAUGUGGACAAUCAAUGAUUUUUCAGCUUAUGGCAUGUUGUCAGGAUGGGGGACUAAAGGGAAAUUAGCAUGUCCUCGUUGUAUGGAGAACACGAAAGCUUUUACAUUACCACAUGGUGGUAAAAGUAGUUUGUUUGACUGUCAUCGUCGAUUCUUGCCUACUGAUCAUCCAUUUAGGAGAAGCAAAAGGAGAUUUACGAAAAAUAGGACUAAGUCGGAUGGGACUCCUAAUUUCCUAAAUGGAGAGCAAUUGUGGGAAUUUAUUCAAGACUUUCCAAAGGUGAAUGAUGGUCUAUUUGAUACCUUAUUAGGGUAUGAACAAUAUCAUAAUUGGACAAAAAGAUCAAUCUUUUGGGAUCUGCCAUAUUGGAAACACAAUUUGCUAAGACACAAUCUUGAUGUCAUGCAUAUUGGAAAAAAAAAUUGAUAAUGUCUUCAAUAUUGUGAUGGAUGUCAAGGAUAAAACAAAGGACAAUCACAAGGCAAGAAUGGAUGUUGCUGAAUUUUGUGGACAUGGUGACUUGGAAUUGGUUCAGUUACGAAAUGGGAAGUUAGAAAAGCCAAAGGCAAACUACACUUUCACAAAAAAAAAGAUGCAAAAUCAAUUUAUAAAUGGAUUACAAAGUUAAAAAUACCUGAUGGAUAUGCCUCUAACAUUGCCAGGUGUGCAGACAUUGAUAAAGAGAGUAUGCAUAGUAUGAAAAGUCAUGAUUGUCAUGUCUUCAUGAAGUGUUUACUACCAAUUGCAUUUCGUUCAUUACCAGAAAUUGUUUGGAAUGCAAUAGCUGAAAUAAGUCGAUUUUUCAUAUAUUUAUGUUGUAACUCUUUAAGGAUGGAUGAUUUAUAUCGAAUGAAAGGGAAUAUAUCUAUCAUUAUAUGUAAAUUGGAAAGAAUCUUCCCACCAGGUUUCUUUGAUUCAAUGGAACACCUGGUUAUUCAUCUUCCUACUGAGGCAAUACUUGGUGGUUCUGUCCAAUACAGAUGGAUGUAUCCAUUUGAAAGGUAAUCACCCAAUCCUCAGUUUUAUUGUUCAUAAUUAUUGUUCAAUACUUAAAACUUGACAUGUGGUGUAGGUUGAUGAGAGAUGCAAAAUGAUCAGUGGCUAAUUUAGCAAGGGUAGAAGGUUCAAUAUGUGCAUUCUACUUACACCGUGAAAUAACUUAUUUUUGUUCUCAUUAUUUCCAACAUGUAAGCUUGUUGUCAAAUACAAGUUUGAGAAAUGAUCCUCGGACUAGUUCAAAUGAGGGAGUUGAAUCAACAUUGUUCGUUCUCAACAAAUGUGGUCGUCCUAGUGGAUCAUGCAAAGAAUAUUGGCUAAAUGAUGAUGAAUAUCAUUCUGCCCAUGUAUAUAUCCUCAUCAAUUGCAAUGAAGUUAAACCAAUACUUGAGUAUGUUAACAACAACACAAUUUGUAUUGAUUAUGUUUAAAUUGAAGUUUAUGAUUGAUUACUUAUUUAUUUCAAGAUUGUUCUUACAAGUUAACAACAACAACGAAGAGGGAUAUUGAACCUAGUAGUUGUAGCUCUACAAGUCUGUAAUUGGACUGAGAGACAUCACAAUUCAGUUUGAAAAGAUCAUUUUGAGGUAAACUCCAACUUUGUUCCAAGAGACACACUUUAGAAAUAAUAUUGUGAGAGUGUAUUGCUAACACUGCCUUAGAUUCCAAUUUGUUGUUUUGUUUGCAUCUCCAAAUCAUUUAUUAAACUAAAUGCAGGUUUCAAAGGAGAUUAAGUAUGCUGACAAGCAGUCAAUUCUACCUUGGGGACCAAGGUUUGGUGUUGCUUCUUAUGAUUAGUGACAAUGCAGUUUUGUUGUUGUAUAUUGUUAUGGCUACUGUUAGUUUACUUUAAUGGAUGAUUUAAGAUUUAACUUCUCUAGGUUGACAUGUUUCCUAUCUAGUAAUCAAAGUCGGGAUGUCUAUAGGUUGCUUUACCGUAUGGCAGUUAUCUCCCCAUUAUAAAAUGAUCAGAAAGUAUAAGUUUCUGCCAGUUGGAACCUUAUAUAGCUCAACUUUUGUGUCAUCAAGUUACUAUUUUUUAAAGUGUGUUUUAUGUUUUUCUUGGUAUUUUGAAGAGUGUGAAGGUAAGCUUGUCUUGGUAUCUACCAGUUAUGCACCAUUUUAUUGUUCCUCAUUUUUCAUAAAAUAUUUAUAGCUCAACCUUAGUUAAUUAAAGUAACUUUAGUUCAAUUUCAAUCAAAAUAUCUUCAAUCAAAAAUCACCGUUAUCACGUUUCUACCUUUGUAUUUUGGUGCAUGCAAUUGGUUUAACUACUAAGUUCAAAGUGCAAACAAAGCAAAAUGUCUUGCCAAGUUAAUUAGAAUUGGACAAUAUAUGAAAAUACUACUAUCUAUUGGUUGGGGCAACCCACUUAUCCUAAUUAAUAUAUGUUUUUCCUUGAUGGAUCAGUUGCAUGGGGCAGUUGUCUUUUCUAAAAUAGAUCUGCGCUCAGGUUAUCACCAAAUUUCAGUGAAAGCGGAAGAUGUUCAAAAGACUACUUUUAGAUCAAGGUAUGGUCACUAUGAAUUUCUGGUCAUGCCAUUUGGUGUGACCAAUGCUCCAACUAUCUUCAUGGUUUAUAUGAAUCGGAUAUUCUGACCUUUUCUUGAUAAGUUUGUGGUAGUGUUCAUAGAUGAUAUCUUGAUCUAUUCUCGUACAAGGGAAGAACAUGCAGAACAUCUUAGAACUGUCCUGAACAUUUUGAGAGAAAGACAGUUAUAUGCUAAACUUUCAAAAUGUGACUUCUGAAUGUCAGAAAUACAAUUUUUAGGACAUGUCAUCUCUGCACAGGGAAUAUCAGUAGAUCCUUCUAAAGUGGAGGUUGUACUUCAGUGGGAGCGUCCUAAAACAGUUACAGAAAUUAGAAGCUUUGUCGGGUUAGCAGGAUAUUACAGGAGAUUUAUUGAAGGCUUUUCUAAAAUAGUGGCUCCUUUGACCCAAUUUACUAGAAAGGAUCAUCCUUUUGCAUGGACUGAACAAUGUGAGAGAAGCUUUGAAGAGUUGAAAAGAAGGUUGACUAAUGCUCUUGUAUUGACAAUCCCUGAUACCAAUCAAUCUUUUGAAGUUUUCUGUGAUGCUUCCUAUCAGGGAUUGAGUUGUGUUCUGAUGCAAAAUAAGAAAGUUGUUGCCUACGUUUCUCGUCAGUUAAAGGUGCAUGAAAGAAACUAUCCAACUCAUGAUCUAGAAUUGGCAGCAGUUGUCUUUGCUUUAAAAAUAUGGAGACAUUUUCUUUAUGGAGUUAGUUUUGAUGUGUUCAGUGAUCAUAAAAGCUUGAGGUAUUUGUUUGAUCAGAAGGAGCUUAAUAUGAGGCAGAGGAGAUGGAUUUAAUUUUUAAAAGACCAUGAUUUCCAGCUAAUAUAUCAUCCUGGGAAGGCAAAUGUUGUUGCAGAUGGGUUGAGUCGUAAAAAGAUACAAAUGUCGUCACUUAUGAUUAGAGAGCUAGCAUUGAUUGAAGAUUUCAGGAGUAUGAAUUUGGAGGUUUCCAUGUCUUCAAAUUGCACUAGUUGUAAUACACUUGUUAUAACUAAUGAAUUUCUGGAGAAGGUGAAGGAGAAGCAGUUGGAAGAUUCAAAAUUGAAGAACUUCAUGGGCUUAUUUAAUACUGACAAAGCUAAAAACUUCUCUUUAGGAGUGGAUGGUAUUUUGAGAUUCAAAAAUAGAAUAUGCAUACCAGAGGAUAAUGAACUAAAGCAAACAGUGUUAUCUGAAGGUCAUAAAAGCAAACUCAGUUUACAUCCAGGAAUGACCAAGAUGUAUCAAUUCUUAUUGGUGGCAUGGCAUGAAGAAUGAUGUAGCUAAGUUUGUAGCUGCUUGCUUGACUUGUCAGAAAUCAAAGAUUGAACAUCAACGACCUGGAGGUAUGUUAACUCAGUUAGACAUUCCAGUGUGGAAGUGGGAUAGUAUCUCAAUGGAUUUUGUUACCCACUUACCACGUACUUUGAGGAAGCAUGACUCUAUUUGGGUCAUAGUGGAUAGGUUGACAAAGACAGCACACUUCCUACCUAUAGACUUGAGAAUCUCUAUGCGAAAGUUGGCCCAGAUUUACAUAGAUGAAAUAGUCAGAUUGCAUGGUAUACCCUCCAGCAUAGUUUCAGAUAGAGAUCCUAGAUUCACCUCCAGAUUCUGGCAAACACUUCAAGAAGCUUUGGGGACUAAACUUAGACUUAGUUCAGCAUACCAUCCUCAGACUGAUGGACAAUCAGAGAAAACUAUCCAGUCGUUAGAGGAUUUGCUUAGGACUUGUGUGUUAGAUCAUUUAGGCAGUUGGGAUGAAAUUCUACCUUCGGUAGAGUUCACUUACAAUAACAGUUACCAAGCUAGCAUAGGAAUGGCUCCUUUUGAGGCAUUGUAUGGAAGGAAGUGCAGGACACCUUUGUGCUGGUUUCAGGAUGGUGAAAGUGUGUUAAUUGGACCCGAAUUAAUACAACAAACCAAUGAGAAAGUCAAAAUGAUUCAGGAAAGAUUAAAAACAUCUCUCAGCAGGCAAAAAUCUUAUGCAGAUCAAAGAAGAAGACCUUUAGAAUUCUCUGCGGGUGAGCAUGUCUUUUUUAGAGUUACACCGUUCAUUGGUGUAGGAAGAGCACUCAAAUCCAAUAAAUUGACUCCUAAGUUCAUAAGACCUUACCAAAUUCUCCGGAGAAUAGGCCCUGUGGCUUAUGAAAUUGCUUUGCCUCCCUCUUUAGCUAACAUUCACAAUAUUUUCCAUGUAUCCCAACUAAGAAAGUAUGUAUUUGAUCCUAGCCACAUUCUAGAGUCUGAUUCCAUCCAAGUGAAAGAAAAUCUAUCAUUUGAAGUGAAGUCAAUCAGAAUUUUAGAUUCACAAGUGAAACAACUUCGUGGAAGGAGUAUUCCCAUGGUGAAAGUAUUGUGGGAUCUCAUGUCCGGAGAUUCCACUUGGGAAAUUGAAGAGGAGAUACGAGCAUCAUACCCUAACCUCUUUCUUGGUAAGUUCAUUUUCGAGGACGAAAAUUUUUGUAGUUGGAGAUAAUGUAAGAACGUUAAAAAAAAAAGAAUAAAAAAGAAUAAAGGUGCAGAGAAGCCCCUUCUCCCCCACCACAGUUUUUUUUUCUUCUUUCUCUCUCUCUCUAUAUUCUCUUCUCUCCCUCUCUCCUAAUUUUCUCUCCCAAUCUUCAUCUAUUUUAGAAUCUGAUCGUACCAUUUUGUAGCUGAGGAGUUAAGGAACAUUUCUACCCGAUCAGAUUUUCAAACAGAGUAAGUUCAUUUUUUACUCUAAAUAUCCUUUGUUCUCUGUUUUUCCUUAGGAUUUAGUCAUCAAUCUUGGUAGGGUCAGUUGAGAAGUUUAAUCCUCUCAACUUAUUCUACUAUAUACUAAAUUUUUGUUCUGUUUGGAUAACUUGCAUUAGGCCCGUAAAUCUUGAAGCUUAUCCAGACUGUGGGGAAUAAAAUUCUAAAAGUUGCUUGGAAAGCAAGCAAUUGAGGUAAGGGAAGCUAAAUUUAAUUUUUAAUAGCACCCUAGGAUAGGAUAUCUGAAUGCGAAAGGGACGUGGUCCCAAUAUUGAAUUUCUCUUGCAGGGGUAUUAUUUGUUUAUAUAUUAUUUAAACUUUAUAAAUAUUGUUUUUGACGUUGGAAAAUUUUUGAAUGAUAUGUAUUAUAUACGAAUGACGUAAAUUGUAUGAAAUUGAUGUCAUACAUUUGGGAUAAUGUAUGAGUUGUUGUUUGAUGGUACGUUAAGUAUGAAAAGCCUAUGUUUAACGGAGAUCCUCUGGCUUCACUAAUGAUCUAAGUCAUGUAGACUAAGAUAUUAGGUGGUGAGAAGAUGAGAGGGAGUUCAUACACACUGGGUUCCAUUGUAGACACUCGAUAUUGGAUGUUUGAACUUACCCUGAUCCUUUCUAUUGGAUUCGCUGGUAAUCUUUGGGUCAGGUGUUAGUCUCUGGUAGGGGCAUACUUAAUUAGUCUUCCGGAAGAUGAAGUGGGAUUGAAAUGAAAUCCAAUGAUUAUGAUUGAAAAUAGAUCCAUGUGUGGUCUAUAUGAAUGAUGAAAUUGGUAUUGAAAUUUUACAUGAAAUCAUUUAAAGAAAUGUUUAUAAAUUAUUAGUCUAAAUUGGUUCUAUUUCUAUGAAUUAUGUUAUGGAUUUUCUUUGCACUAGCUUACCCUUGAUUUUCGUGUUGUGUUUGAACUGUGAUGACUGUACUAUGUACACAAGCAGAUGACCAUACAGGUGUAGGAGAGCCUUAGAGGUUUCAGAGUUUUAUUUGAGCUAUGGAUAUGUAAAUAUUUGUAUUUCUAUAAAUCCUAAUCAUGUAUUAGGAAUGUUUUGAAAAACUCCAAGUUUGUAUAGAAUCUGGUAGAACUUUUAUUGUAAUAGUUAUAUGUAAAUUAUGGGGUGUUACAAAACUCACGCUACUUUAGAAAUGUGUGGACAUCUCGAAGGCUAAGCCCACUCUAUUUUAAAUGAAAUAUAAUUUUGUGUAGGCGAAACGUCCAUCAAACCCACUAUUUUUUAUAAAUUUGUCAACUCUUUGUAGACUAAGCCCACACUUGACUUACACAAAAAGCACCCGCCAAUAUCUUUACGUCAACUACAUUAGCUUCGAAAUUUCCAUUAACGCUAUGCCCACAAUAAAUAACCUUUUGCGUAGGUUUUUUAUAGUUAGGGUCGGUGUUUGGCCAUUCUAAUCAACAUUUUUUUUUGUAGCGAAAAGAGUUGUUUAUAUUUUCACCAAUGGUUAGAUCAAAAUUUAUUCUAUGUUCUAAGGUUUGUGAAUAAUUUCUCAACCAUCAUUUCAAGAGCACUAAAGGCCGUGAUUAUAAAUGGAGAACUAUGGUAAUAUAUCAUUAAAGAUUUAAAUAUCUCUUUGUGGUCUUUUGAUUUUACUUAUUAUAGAAAAAAAUUGUUUUUAGUUCUUUUAAACUUUAAAAUUGUUAUUUUUUUAUAUCUUUAGUGUUAUAUGACACUGAUUAACUAUUUAUUGAAUGAUAAAAAAACUCAAGUGACUAUUCAAGCGACACACAUGACUUAUUAUAGCUAAUUUGUAUGAGAAAAGUCUUUGAUAUCUUAGAGAUUUGGGAAACAAAUGCACAUAAUUAAUUACCUUGAAUAUAUAGGCUAGAUGUAUAUGAUGCUUUUAAUUUCUGGAUAAUAUAUCUUAGUACACUCCAAGCACCAUUGCAUGAGUAUUCAUGUUACAAUGAUUUCUUUUGCUCAUUUGUGUCAACACAUUUCCUUAUUCAAGUGAGUUUCUUUUAUUUCUAUUCCAUUUUCUUCUAAUUUGGUGGGUUAUAUUUCAAAUUAACUUAUUUGUAAUGUUUAUGGAAUUUUUAAUUUGAGAUGGUGUAUAUAAACUGUUUAGAAGCAUAAAUAUAAGGUGUUAUGUUUCAGAUUGUAAAAUACAUAAUGCUUUUAUAUAAAUACAAAAAUGUUUUAUGGAUGCAUUCAAAAAUUCAUAUAAUGCUUUUAUAGAUACAAAAAUGUUUUAUAGAUGCAUUCAAAAAUUCAUAAAGACAUAAGACAUUCUGAAUUUUGAAAUCAAAAUGUAGAAAAUGCAUUAUGAUAUUUGCUAUCUUAUCUUUAUUUGAUAUUUGUCAUCGACAUGGAAUCUUCUUAUGCAUUUCUUGACGUACACUUGAAUAAAAGCUUGAUGUAGCUAGUUUUAUUAUUGAAUAUUUCUUGCACUUCAAAAAUUGUUUUAAUAAGAAAAUAAUUCAAAAAAUUUAUUGAAUAUAUAACAUUGAAUUUUUUCAAAUACGUAUUGUACAAUAUAUUAUUUUCAUAUAAAAGAAGUUAGUUUAUAAUCAUUUGAUGUGAAAUAUUUUUAUACUUGGAUUCUGAAGUUGAUGGUAUGAAUUUAAUAAAUUUAAAAAAAAAUUAUAUAAUAUAUCUUUGUUACAACUUGUUUAUGUAAGACAAAGUUUAAGGAUAUAUAAACAUACAUAAGAUGUUGAAACUGUUUGUAUCAUUAAAUGGACUAGUUGUCCUACCUCUAGCACAAAACACAUAUUUGUUCAAAUAAUAAACACAUAUAUGAAGAUACUUUAGUCUAAGUAUGUCAUUAAAGCUCUUCUUAAAGAGUCCACUAGCGUUAGGUUGUCUAUAUGAGCUACAUAGAAGUUAGAUCAUCUAUGUUCUCAACAAAGUUUUGAUGAUAGCUAAUGUUGAAUGAGCUAUAUACAUAUUAUUACAUACAGGAACAUUUUAAUGUGUGUAAGUUAAAGCUCAUGAGACUAUCCAAUGGUCACUAUCAAUAUUAAAUGCUACAUGAAGUUUUACAUAUUAAGGUUAAAACUUAUAUCUAACUAAAUUGUAAUCAUAAAUUAUUUCUAGAGAUAAAAUGAAUCUUGGUAAAUUUGUAGUGUCACAUACGUCUUUAAUGAUUAAAUGCAACAUGCAAACGUAGAAUUUAUAUUCUAAAAUGUUCAUAUUAGAAUAUAAAAAAGAAAACAAAAGAAACAUAUUUUGAUUUACAAUUAUAUUGUAUUAUGUUUUUAUUACAUGUAUUUGAAAUGUUUCCUUAUGAAAAUAAGAAAGAGUUAAAGAGUAUAAAGGUUUUUUAUAAAAGUUUCUAGUCAACCCAUGUUAAGGGCCAUGUUAAGGGACGCAAUGCGUAAUCCACAUAGAUGAUAAAAGCUUAUUUCAAAGGAUUCAAACAAAAUAAGAUUGAAGCAGCGAUUAUCUUCAAAUGGUCUAUAUAAAGGAUUCAAGUUAUAUGUGAAGUACGUACAAGAGUUGUACAUUUUUCUAAGACUCAUAAUUUGCUAAGUGUUCUUUGUGGGUGAUGUGAUUCCAAUAACAUGAAAGAGAUAUGAUAUGGACAUGUUAUGGAUUCAACAAGAGUUGGAAUAUGAUUAGGCACUUUUUAAGAAUUGGAUCAAUGUUCUUAACAUUCAAGAACUCACCAAAACACAAGUAACCAAGCCAAACUCACAUAGAAACCCAUAAUAUGGCAUAUGAACCGAUUAAAACAAGAAAGAACACAAAUGAACCGAUUAAAACACAAGGAAACACAACCAAAACCACAAGAACAGCAAACUAGAAGAAACUACCGAACAAAAACACAAAACAAAACUAUUUCUACCGAUUGAAAAGACAAGAAACAUCAAAGACAUGUUUUAGAGUUUGUUUUGGAAUGGAAAUGGAUGAAGAAGAUGAAAAGAACUAGGAAACUUAUGUGGUUGUAGCUCUUGAAGAUGUGCACGCCACUUGAAGGAUGAAAGGCUUCAAGAUGAGUGUAGUUGCCGCCACUUGAGAGUCCAAGAAUGCACUCAAGAUAAGACUAGAAGAGAAGAAGUUACAAGUCUCUCUCAAUUCACUCACCAAUUUGGGAGAGGUUCUUUUCUCAAAAAAUCAAUUCUUAUUAUUUCAAAGACCUAAGCACCCUUUUUAUAAUAGAGAGGGUUAGUCACAAAGUACAAGAAAAGCUUACAAGAGAAGCUUUUGAAAGGUCACCUUCCUACUCCUUCUAUUCUAGCGCCUAAAGGAGUGUGAAGAGACAACUUUCUAGUUUCUUCCUAAAAACUAACGCCUAAGGUACUUACAAAAGAGGUGUCUUUUUGGUUUCCCUCUUAGUACCUUCCUAAACACUACUCCUAUAUGUUUUACAAAUUUAUACAAAAGAAAUUACAAAGAAAAAUAUUAAUUGGAGCCCAUUCUUGAAUUCUUGUUGGCUUUGGGCUUGAUCCUCUCUUUAUUUAAUUCUUCUUUAAUUUUUUAGAAGACUAGAAGGAAGAACUUUAAAUGUUUGGGUGGAUGGCCUCUUCCUCCAUUAGUAAAAUCCUCUCUUACUUGAUCUCCAUCAGUGGGUGAGCUAAACCUUUAUAUUUCUUUACUCUGUGAAGUAAAUCUUGUGAGCUUAAAUUAUUCUCCUUUUUAGAGUUCUUUGUUACUUGUUUUAAGGUCUAGAUCUUAAUCUUAGACAGAGACUAAGACAGGAUAACCGGAAAUAGUUUGUAUACUCAUUGUAAUAAUUGUUUGAUUAAUGAAACUUCAUAAGAAGUUGUCUUAAGGAAAAAUUAAAUGCAACAUGUGAGUUUGGAUAAACCGGUGUAAAACUACUUUUUAUUGUUUUGAUUUACUAAUUUCUCAUACAAUCUAAUCUAAUUGUUAGCAUAAAGUUUUAUUUAACCUCCCAUUCUAAAGUGAAUUAUUACAACAUAUUUCAUUUAAGAUAAUUAAUUAUUUGAGCAUCUUGAACUUACUCUUAAACUUUUGAAACUCAAAAUAAUGAAUAAUAUAUAAAAAUAAUCAAUUAUUUUAUUCUUAGUAUUCUCCAUCACUAUUUUUUCUCAAAUGAUUUACAAAAUCAUACUUAACCAUACAACACCAACAUUCUAUAACACUUAUUACCAUACAUAUACACAUUUUAAACAUAAAAACAAACCCAUUUCAUAACCACUAACUUAAACAUAUGAUGGAACGUUCAAUCAUUAAGUUGAAUUUUCUAACGUGCUACAAUAUUUAGUUGCAAUCAUAAUGUAUGGUCAUGUUAAUACUAGCCUUCAAAAAAUAAAUGAUUGUGAUUAUACUGUAAUAAAACUAAAAACAAUAAAAUUAAACACAUAAACAGUACUUAUAACAUACCAUCCAAAAAUAAUUAUUUUUAGUUGGUUUAUAUUAUUAAAACCUCUCAUUAUUCAUCAUGUCAUUAAUAAUUUUUUUUAAAUGAGUUCAUUCUUAUAAAACAUCAUAUCUAACAUUACUUGAAUAACAAAAUGAACAUCGAUGUUCAUAUUAAUAAUAUUAGGUAUAAAUCAAUACAAGCCAACAUGAGAACUUGUUUUAUUUUUAUAAUCACCUUUAUUUUUACUAUCUCCUGUUACUUGAUUUCCCAAAUAUAAUUGUCAUACAUAAAAAGAAUAACAUUCACAUUAUCUAACAUAUGAUAGCUUACACUUUGUAGGUCCUACAAAUCUACUAACUUGAGAUUUUAUUUAUUUAUUUUAACCUUAUUUAUUGAUGCCCAUAAAAAUAUGUUUAAAGUUUACUUUUGAUUGUCACUUUAUGUAUGAUAUAAAUGAAUUAGUUUAUAUACUUGUAUGUGAUAUAUUUUGAUAAAAUUGGAUAUGUGAUAUAUUUUGAUAAAAUUGGAUUAUUUAUAUUUUAUAGCUUUAUGUAUGAUAAAAUGUUAAUGAUUGUUUUAAAAUUAAUGAAAUAACGUAUUCUGAUUUUAACCGUUUAUAUAUUUUGACCUUGGAAUUGACAUUAUCCAUUCUGAUUUCAAAAUUAAACUUCUAAUCGCAUGUUUUUGUAAGAUUAUUCUGAGUUCAUCAUACAAAAUAUUUUGCAUGUUUAAGAAUAUCUACCAAUUAUACCACAAUAUGAGUACAGAGCACAGAGAAAGUUAUAAUUAAAUUCAUUGAAAAAUGUAUACAGAUUAAAACUUAUAUAAAUUUUAAUAUUUUGCCAACAAUCACUAUAACAAAGUCCCACAUCAUGAAGCAAGGUAAACUAUUAGUAUUAGCAAGUAACAUUUCUUACUCAUUCUUCAUCAUCCACCACAAGUGUUAUAAAGAACCUAUUGUUCUAUUCAAACUCAUAAAUAUCACAUAAAUAUAAAAACUUAGCAUAUCAUAGUAUGAUACAUCAUCAUACAUGCUUUCCACACCUCUAUACCCCUCCGAGUCGCGCGGCCAUCAACCUCUACUCUCCACCGAUGGACGAUUUCAACCGUCUAAUCCCUAUAGCGGUCGUCAUGCCUGUGGCGGCCGUCGAGCAGUCAUCCUUAUCGGUUCUAGGGGUGACUUGCGUUUUUCAAGGGCAGUGAAUUUCAACCUGCCCCGAACACCAAGGACCUCAUCCGAGCGGUCCCUGAGGACGACCUCCUCGACGGUGACGUCGAGAUGAUGUGUCGUGGCCUUAUACUGACCUGCCACGGGGUGGAGGCACACAGGCGGCGUAUUGAGGAGCUCUCGCGCCUCGAGCAUCAGCUUCAGAAGGCGUCCGACAACUUGAAGCAGGUUGUUGAGGCCAACAUAGCUUAUGAGAAGAAGUUGUGUGCGCAAGCUGCCAAGUUGGAGCUUGGUGCGGCCCGGAUGACCAAGUUGGAGAAGGUUGAAGCUGAGAGGGCGACUGAGAACGCUCGGCUAAGGAGGGCCCUGGAAGAGGCCGAGCGCAAGGGGGCAUCUCUAGAAAGAGAGGUUUUUUUUGCAUCAAGGGAAGGAGGCGGCAGAGGCUGAGGUGCUUAAGACCAUGGAGGACACCAUGGUCUUGAUUACUCAGAGCUUCGACCUGGCCGUCCGACAGGCUGGGGUGUUGUACGGUGGGCUUCAACCUUCUGGUCAAUUCGACCAAGAGAUGGAGGUCUUUGACGACCGAUUGGUCCCCAUGAGCGAGGUCCAGAAUUUGCAGAGCGCUGUCCAGCCUGCCUCGAGCGAGGAUGCUGAAGAUCAAAGCUUAGGUUUAUAGGUUUUGUAACCUCGUUCAUUUUGUUUCCUUGAGGCCUGAGUGUGGCCUCCACCUUUUGUUGAUGAAUAGAAUUGGUCAUUUUUGCUUUCAAGAAUUUGCAUAGGUUAUUUCCCUCGGUGGGUAUGAGUGUGAGUUAAAAACAACCAACCUAAUUAACCCCACUGGUGUAAGUUAAUCUUCUCGGUCGUUUAAAAAGUAAAUCAUUUAACGAAUUGGAUUGGGAUGGCGGUCGGCCUUUGAAGCAUAACGAGAUAACGAACAUGUAUUUGGACAAGUUAAAUCACUCGUCAGGUUGGUUCCACGUUCGGUCGUGAUGAGCGAUAUUAGAUGGAUCGAGAUACUCAAAUGGGUAUCGAGAGGAGGUGCAGGUUAAGGCUACAUCCUAACUGAACCGUGCAGUGCUGAAAGGGUAUGCUAGUUAAGGCUACGUCCUGGCCAACACUCGUAUUUGGGUCUCGGGAGGGUAUGUCGGUUAAGGCUACAUCUUGGGCGAACCGUGAAGUGUUGGGAGGGUAUGCCGGUUAAGGCUACAUCCUGGCCAACACUCGUGUUUGGGUCUCGGGAGGAUAUGCCGGUUAAGGCUACAACCGUGAAGUAUUGCGAGGGUAUGUUGAUUAAGGCACGUCCUGGCCAACACUCGUGUUUGGGUCUCGGGAGGGUAUGUCGGUUAAGGCUACAUCCUGGCCGAACCGUGAAGUGUUGGGAGGGUAUGCUGGUUAAGGCUACGUCCUGGGCAAAACUCGUGUUUUAGUCUCGAAAGGGUAUGCCAGUUAAGGCUACAUCCUGGGCGAGUCGUGCCUCUUAGGUUGAUUUUACGAUUUACACAUUAUUUGAAGAAAACGCCUUAUCAAAACCUCUUUGACCGUUGGUGCUGCCGGGCGAGGAAAGAGUGCAUGAAUUUAUUCAUCAUUCAGCUGAAAUAAAAUUUGAGGUGUGUGGCAUUCCACGUCCUUGGUACAAUUUUGCCUGAUAGCCGUUCUAAAUGGUAUGCUCCCCCUACUCCUACUUCUCGAACCCGAAACGGUCCCUCCCAGUUUGACGAAAACUUGCGUCCAACUUCCUAGCGUCGCUUUGCAUCCUCUAGACGAGGUCACCUUUGUGGAAGCUCUUUGGUUGAACCUUCGUGUUAUAUCUUCUUGCCGCCCGAAGUUUGCAAGCGGCUUCGCGGAUCUUGGUUUUAUCACGAAGCUUAUUGAUGAGAUAGAGUCCGACCGCCAAGCUUUCCUGAUUAAGGGAUAAGUCAAACAAUUGUUGCCUGAUGGACGGUUCACCCACUUCCACCGGGAUAAUGGCCUCGGUGUCGUAGAUAAGGUUGUAUGGUGUCUCUUGUGUCGUCGUCUGAGGUGUGCACCGAUAUGCCCACAGAACCUCAACCAGGUCUUCUGCCCAUCUUCCCUUUGUCGCGCCAAGUCUCUUCUUCAAUACAUUCAAGAGGACUUUGUUGGCCGCCUCGACUUGGCCAUUUGUACGAGGGUGUUCGACCGAGUUGGUCACAGACUUGAUGUCGAGGUCCUCAUAGAAUGUCUGGAGCCCUCGGUCAAUGAAUUGUUGUCCAUUAUCUGAUACGAUCAUGUUUGGCAGCUCGAACCUGCAGACGAUGUUCUUCCAAACAAAAUUUUGGACGUUUCUGGCUAAUAUGGGCACUGGGGGUUUGGCCUCUAUCCAUUUCGUGAAGUAGUCCACUGCAACCAACAGGUGUUUCGUCUGACCUUUGCCAGGUGAGAAAGAGUCGAUGAUGUUCAUUCCCCAUAUGGCAAACGGUUAGGGUGACGUCAUGUUGUGGAGUUCUUCUGGUUUUGAGUGGUGUAGGGGGUCGAAUUCUUGACAUUUCAAGCAUUUCUUUACGUACUCUGCACAAAACCUUGGAUAGUCGGCCAAUAGUAUCCUACUUGAAUGGUCGACCAAUAGUAUCCUACUCAGAUGACCUUGGCCGCCAUGAUUCCAUCCGGAGUGAUUACCGCAAGCUCCAUCAUGGAUUUCUUGCAAGUUUGCUUUUGGUGAGGCAAAGGAGUGGAGUACCCCUUCUAAGUUAAAAUUAUAGGUUUAUGUAUGACAUAAAUGAAUUAGUUUAUAUACUUAUAUGUGAUAUAUUUUGAUAAAAUUGGAUUAUUUAUAUUUUUAUAGCUUUAUGUAUGAUAAAAUGUUAAUGAUUGUUUUAAAAUUAAUGAAAUAACGUAUUCUGAUUUUAACCAUUUAUAUAUUUUGACUUUGGAAUUGACAUUAUCCAUUCUGAUUUCAAAAUUAAACUUCUAAUCGCAUGUUUAAGUAAGAUUAUUAUGAGUCCAUCAUACAAAAUAUUUUGCAUGUUUAAGAAUAUCUACCAAUUAUACCACAAUAUGAGUACAGAGAAAGUUAUAAUAAAAUUCAUUGAAAAAUGCAUACAGAUUAAAACUUAUAUAAAUUCUAAUAUUUUGCCAACAAAUCACUAACAAAGUCCCACAUCAUGAAGCAAGGUAAACAAACUAUUAGUAUUAGCAAGUAACAUUUCUUACUCAUUCUUCAUCAUCCACCACAAGUGUUAUAAAGAACCUAUAUUGUCUAUUCAAACUCAUAAAUAUCACAUAAAAAUAAAAACUUAGCAUAUCAUAGUAUGAUACAUCAUCAUACAUGCUUUCCACACCUCUAUAAUAGAUGCAAAUUUAUUUACAUAAUUUUACCUAUAUAUAUAUAUAUGUAUAUAACUAGUAUAUAUGCGUCAUGACAGUCACUCACAAAUUCAGUUACGUCGAAAAAAUCAGAAUAGGUUCAGAAACUUGCGAAUCUUCUUGGCGAACGAAUUUUCCUCGCGGUGCUGGUGGUGAAUCUGGCCGCGGUGAUGGUGUUCGCGAACGGAAUCGAAGCGCUCUGCGGUCGUCAGAGACCGUACCUCGGCGUCGGCGUGAACCGUGACCCAGCGCGGAUGGAUCCGGCUAGCGGAGGCUUUGUCGAGCACGAUCGCGUCGUUUCCGUAAGGGAUCUGGAGGCCGUGGCCGUGGCCGUGGCCGUGGCCGUGGCCGUGGCGGCAGCGGCGGUGGCCGGAGCGGAGUGAAAGCGGAAGCGCCGACGGAUGGACGUGGUGGAAGUGGCGGUUGAUCGGACGGAAGCGGAGGAACGUAAGGGGAACGGGAUCGAUGGUCGCGACGGUGAAGGAAACGGUGCCGUCUUGAGUUUUAGGUUCGGGACUGUUCAGAGGUUCGGAUUGAGGUUUAGGUUCGGGAAAGGGGUUUUGGAGAUCGUGCGCUAGUGUGAGGGUGAGGAGGAAGAGAAAGGAGAGGAAAACGGUAAGGGAAGGAGCUAUUCUCGCCAUGGUGUAGGGCGUGUUUGGCUGUAAAUGUGAAACGGGGAAACGGAAAGAGAUAAAAGGAGUUGCGAGGAAGGAGAAUUUUCUCGCUUAUGUCGUAAGAAUCACGUUGCAGCACGACUUGACUUUGUUCCAGGUAAAAUCAUCAUCACUAUAAUACUUUAUUUUCUUUUAUAUUUUUUUACUAGUUUUAAUGGGUGUUGAUGUAGAUAGAUCAAUAAAAUAAUGAGACGUAUGAAAAAAGGUUAUGUAUUUAUAACAUAUUUUUUAUUAUUAAUUCAAAAAUUCAAAAAAAUAAAUAUGUCAAUUUGUUUCUUUAAUAGUUUUUUAUUUAUAAUUUUUUAUUUUUAAUAAAUUUUAACAAUAAAAAAAAGUAUUGGAAAGAGUGGGUUGCUGACUCGUUCUAAAAAUAUUAAAUUGAUUUUAUAAGCUAUGUAAUAAAAAAGAAAUAUUUGAAAAGGAAGUAAACGAUAAAAAAUUGUAUGUAUGGGUGUUAUUUUUUAAUUUGAUAAUUUUAUAUUCUAAUAAAUAAAAAUAAUAUUUUUUUAAAAAUAAUUCAAUAAUUUCUUUAAAAAAUAAUGGUUGUAUAAUUUUUAUAAUAUUAUUUUUACAAAAUUAUAUAUAUUUUUAAUUAAUUACUCAUAAAAGUAAUAAAAUUAUAAAAUUGCAUAUAUUUUGAUUUAAUAAAAAAUAUGGAUAUACAUAUACUGAAGAGCAUGUGUUUUUCUAUUGUGAAUAAGAGUUCAAUUCAAAUUAGUAAGGUUGUCACCGAGUGUAUGAGUUAAUUUGCGUUGACUUGAUUUAGUUUAUUUAGUUGAUUUAGUUAGUGAUCUUAAAUUAUUUUUCUACACUAAAAAAAUUACUACGGUUAAAAAAAAUACAUUGCAAGUGUAAUGGAUAUUUUUAAUAGUAUAAUUUAUAAUUUUAACAAAUAAAAAGUAUUUUCAUCUUGAGAGUGUUUGUGUUUUACAUCUACUCAAAAGUCAUGUUAGUUGUGAUGUUUUUGGGAGAGUAAACACUUGUUGAUUAUAAAACACAAUAUGUAAACUAAAAAUUAAAAAAAAAAAUCAACAAUUAAAAUAUUAAUAAAUGUGAUUAUACUAAAUAAAAAUAUUUAAGGGUUCUUCUUUAUUUAACUGAUAAUAUAGUGAUGAAAAUAUAAUCAAGAGUAAAGUGUUUGAAACACUUUUAAGGGUUUGGAGGACGUACCAGAAGAGUAAGGACAAUGAGAGUCAAGAAAAUUUUACAAUAAGUAUGAUUCCCUUUUAUUAAACCCAAGAAUGACGACUUCUUUUUUCAUAACGUGGUUCUGAUAUCAACAAAUGGUAUAAACCCUCUUGUUUGUUAAGAUCUUGAGUUUUGACAUCUAGAAAAUCAGACAAAGAAUUGAAACAAGGAAAAAAAAAGUUGAACACUUAAGUUCACAGACAAAGAAUUAGAAUUAUGCAUUAUGAACAAAAGAUAAAAAAUGAUAUAGAAAUUGAGGACGCCACACUUCCCUAAGGACGAAAGUUAUUUGUGAGAAUUGAACAAAAAAAACUAACAAAUAAGGUCAAACAAUCUCCUCUUCAAUGAGACAAUUGAUGAAUAUCAACUUUGAUUCUUCAAGACUUUGUUUUAUUUUAGGAAGCUUUGUCAACCCUUGUUUUGAUUCUUCACAACUUUGUUUUAUUUUAGUAAGUGUUGUCAACCCUUGUUGUAAAGCUUCCUUUUGGCUCUUCUUGUUCUUGCUAUUGUCAUAGAUUCACCAAACUCAUUAAGUGUUUCAAACUCCUUACUUAUGGUUUUGUCCUCGCCACUAUUUUUAAUUGAACUAAGGUAUUAAUGAUUCUAAGAUGUUAUAGAAAAAAAGGAUGAAAUAAAAAAAAUCAUAAAAAGAAACAAUUAUCAUAAAUAAUAAAAAUAUUUUGUUAAUAGUGAAUUGAUAAAUUAAUAAAAUGAGUAAGAAUUAUUAAUGAUGACAUUUGAAUAUAGUUUAAAUAUUCAAAAUAACUAAUAAAAUAGUUUAAAUUAUCUUAUAUAUAUUUAGGCAAUAAAAUGUUUGACAAGUAGUGAGAAUGUGGAAAAAAACUUAUAGAAUAAAUUGUUCAAAAGAGAUUAUAGCUCAAAAAUGAUAAAAUUCAAAAGGUUAUUAUUUCUCUUAUUUAUUGUUGAAUUUUGUUUAAGCAAAUAAUGGUCAAGCUAUUAUUGUUUUCGAGGUAAUUGUAAAAAUUUCAAUAAACAUCAUAAAAAGAUGAACACGUAAACACAAGUUAUAAAAGGCAUAGUAGAGUUCAUUAUUGAAAAUGAACAAAAGUAUACAAUUGAUCAUAAAAUCUUAGUUGAGAUGAUUGCCAAUGAUUGUCAUAUUAGGCAGAUGAUGAAAUCAUGAGUAGCACAACACUAAUUGGGUCAACUCAGCCUCUUAGAAAGGAAAAAUAGGAGUAUGAUACAGGAUCCAAGGUUAACUCAGACAUCUCAGAUUACUAAUGACUCAGGCUCUAUCAUUUCGCAAAGGAUCACUAGGAGUAAAACACAAUAACAAGGAUCAGGACAUCAACUGUUCUCUUUUUUAUUAUUUUUAUAGACUAUGAUUUAAAUGUAAUAAAUUGGGCUUCUCCUUAACCCAAUUAGGGUAAUGUAACCUAGCUUUUAGAAACCCUAGCAUAUGAUGCACCUAAGUCACACUUUUCUCACAUUAAGCACAUGUUUAAAUGUGGAAAGUGUGCUUCCGUUUAGAUCCAUGAUUACAUGCGCAUGUUUAGGGACUUAAGUAGGGUUAAUUUGAAUUUUCCUCCUCCCUUUAAUUACGCAACACCUACUCUUAUAAAUAGAGAGUUUUCUCUUGUAAACUACACUUGAUUUUGAGUAAAGAAACUCAAGUAUUUUUCAAUUAGUCUAAAUUAUCUACUUUUACUCUGAGUGUUAUCUUGAGUGUGAACUUCAAGUGAUGGCUCUUCAUCACUCAUUUUGGAGUCUCCUUCCAAAUGGUAUGAUCAAUCUUCUUCAAUGAAUUUACUUCUUCCAUAAGCUUCCCUGUCUACUACUCUUUUCUAUCUUCUUAUUACUUCAUCUUUUUUAUCUUUGUAUUCAAUUCUAGUUUCCCAUAUUAUACUUCCAUGUCCAUGUAUGUUUUUCUUUAUUUUUCUACUCUUUAAAGGCCGUUUUCACACUUAUAUAAUUCCCUUUGGAUUAUAUUUGUGUCCAAUAACAAUUUUCAUUGAAUUUUAUCCAUAAUUAAAUUCUUCUAAAAUAAUAAAGUGAAUUCUUUAGAGAGGGUUUCAAGUUGUAUCAAGGUAAAUAUUUUUCACAAUUUAUCUCAUUGCGGUUUUCAAUUGAUAUUUUAUGUUAUAUUGAUAAUUACUUUUUUUUAGUACAUUGUUUUUAUUGAAUAAAUAUUGUCUCAUGUUAUAUUGAUAAUUACACCUUUUUUAGUACAUUGUUCUUAUUGUUCUCUCAACUCCUUUGUAUUUUUUACUUGAUCUAGUCUUUUGAAUUGUGCAACUUUUCUUUAGUUAAAUUCUUUUUCAGCUUUCAAUUUUAACUUCUUUCACAUUAUUUUGGUCAUAGACCUUUCGAAUUUUGUGUUUUUCAAACCAUCUUAGCUUGCCCUACCUCCAAGUCAUUUUUGAAUUAUUUGUUUUAGGCUAAAAUUUUUAAAUAUUAUUUUAAACCUUAUAUUUCUUUAAUUAUCUUGUAGGUCUAGCUUUAUAUGUAAUUUUUGACCCAUUAUCUCAUUGUCAAACAUUUUGAGCAUUACUAAAACAAUGCAACUCGAACAUCUGACUUCUUGAAUAUGUAAUAUCCAUUUAAGACUAGAUGUCAAGUUGCAUGAAAGCUUUUAUAAAAAUAAUAUCCAUUUGAGACUUACUAAGAUUCUAUGUUUGAUUCAUUGAAGGCAAAUUGUAUUUCUAAAAGAUCAAAUUAAACAAAUGUUAAUAAAUUAAAUGCAUCAAAAGAGAGAGAAAGGUAAAUGCAUCGAGAAAGAGAAGGGUGAGGCCCUUAUUUUGAUAAAAUUAUAGAAAUAUCAAAAGAGUCAUGUAUUUGAAGAAGUUACAUAUUCGAAAAAGUUGUUCAGACCAAAGCAGGGAUCAUGAAGAGCAUGGAAAAUUACAAUUACUUACUGUACAUGUAACUUUCCAGUGAAGAUAAGUGGACCUUUGACAAACUCAAUGUGUCAUGUAGUAAUAAAUAACUAAAAAAAAUAAGUCUAUAAAUAAAUAUUUGUACUUUUAUGGGGUGGAAAAAAUGAACAGAGUAACAAUAUUUCUAAAACAUGAGAAAGGGUAGUGAAAUGAGUUUGUGUCUUUAUUCACGAACUUUCUAUAUAAAUUAUUCAAGUUAUCAUUAUCUUCUGGAUAAAAUUUCAUUGCAAUUUAUAUUAUUGUUUCCUUAUUUACAAGGGUUAUUGAUAGGAAUUUUCCUAUCAAUUAUUAGAUAGUGGUUAGUUUUCUUACUGAGGAAUGGCUAAAGCAUCCCUUAUUUGAGUCAUUUAGCCAACUAACAAUCAAAAACUAACAUUAGUUGUUUGGACUAAUGGAUUCGACAGUGGUCAUUUGCUAAGAUAGCAUAUUACAAGUGUUAUGGUUUCAGUUUCUGGAUAUUAUUCUUGUUGAGAGGUUCACAUCAACUGAGAACAUUUUUCAUCCUAGUUCUUAUUAUAGACCAUGUUUGAGUCAACACGAGACUCAUCAUCAACACAUUUGUUGAUACAAUUUGUUUGUUAUAUAUAUUAAGGGUAAAGUUAUUGUAAUCAUAUCACUAGUUAAUACAUUUUGCACGUCUUGUAAACCAUAUUAACAUUUUUUUUCAUACAUUGUUAGUGGUUUUGAUUAACAUUAAUAAUAUUUAUAUUUUGAAGAGUAUUAGACAUAAUAAUUUUAUUAUUCCUUAAUUUCAUACAUGUCCGAAACAUUUAAAUUAGUCAUUAUCUCUUUACACAUUUUUCUUACUUUGUAAACACAAGUUCCACUGAACGUGUCAAUUUGUUUUUAUAAAAGAUGAAUUUAGUAUUUUAUUCAAUAAAAAACAAAUGCAGAUUAUAGAUUAUUUUUAUUUAGACUACCAAUCUUAAACAUUAAAUUAUAGGGAAAAUAUAGAAAUGUUCCUUUUUAUAAUUAGUUGAUUUUUGGAAUUAAAAGUACAAAAUGAUAAUUUAUACAUAUUUUUUUAGUUUUCUAAUUUUACAUUUAAAGAAAAUUUGCAUAAAAUGUAAAACUGUUAUAAAAGUAAAUGAUCAAGAUAUGUUGGAAGAUAAAAAAGAUGAAAUACUUAAAAGUCAAAAUUCUAGAUUAAAUAAAAAAAAAAAUCAAAGACUUCAAUAAAGAAAAUUGAAAUUUGUAAAACAACACAAUAUGAAAAAGAUUAACAUUGAAUCAACAUUAAAAAAAUUAAAUGAAAAGAAAAAAUGUAUAUUGCAAUGAAAUUUUACCAAGACAAAGAAAACUUGAAUAACAAAUGCAUAAAAUUGGUUAACAACACGGAUUAUUUCAUACAUUGACAUUUACACUACGUUGGUUAGAUGUCCACUUUUCUUUAUUUACAAAAAAAAAUAGACGUAGAGUAAACAAUUGGAACUUUCCACGUUCUUUGUAAUCUCUACUUCGAUUUAAAUUACUUUUCUUCAUGCAUGAAACUCUUCUUUACAUAAUUUAUAUAAUUUCAUAAAAAUAUAAAUCUCACUCUUUAUCCUUCUUUCUCGACGCUAAUACAAUGUCUUCGUGGAACAUAAAAUCUUUGGUAACUUCAAAAGAAUAUUAUUAUCGAAAAAUUCAAUUCUCUCACCCUCAAAUUUUAUACACCACUGACAACAUAAUUAUAAAAAUAGUUGUAAAAACAAUAAUCAUUAAUAAAAAUAUGGCAGUCAUUCUUAAUUGGAACAAUUCAAUAGUAAAUUGAUAACGACAAGAUAUAGUACGCGACUAACAUUAAGUUAUAAGCAUUUGUUGACCAUCAAAUAGGAUCAUUCAUUUAGCAACAAAAAGUUCCUUAUGAUCUUAUGAUUCAAUGCAGUUCAGCAAUUUCUGUGCCUAAUGCAAUAAAUCACUCUUUUGGGUUUCUCUUUAAUCAAAGAUGCUGUUGAAUAUUUCAUGACUGUUUCUUCCUGCACCUCCAUAUCUUCUUCUGGCACCUCCAUACACAACAUGAAAAUACAAUUUUAUCCUUCUUCCGCCACCCCCAUAAAAUAGCUUCCGGAUUAUGUAAUCUAGAAACGCAUUUGAAAAAAGGCUUCCGGAUUACAUAAUCCGGAAGUUAAAAAAAACUUCUGGAUUAUGUAAUCCGGAAAGUAAUCAUGCAUAUGAAAAAAGACUUCCGGAUUAUAUAAUCCGGAAACUAAUUACAAAUUUGAAAAAUGACUUCCGGAUUAUGUAAUCCGGAAUCUUACAGAGGGGUAUUUUAGGAAAUACGAAAAUGUAUGGAGGUGAGAGAAGAAGGUAUGGAGGUGUAGGAAGAAGCAGCCAUAUUUCAUUCAUCGGUAAGUAGCCCACGACGCAACUAAAAGCAGAUUGUUGAUAAUAUAUUAAUAUUACAAUAUUUAUAAUGAGUUAUAGUGUGAUAAUGAAUUUCCUAGUAUCACAACAUUGUUUAUAAACAGGAGAAUACCUACCUGUUUUGAAAAAAUUCUAUCUUUGACCAUUACGUAUUAAACAAAUUGGAUCACCCAUUUAUGAAGCAGCUGCUACAAAAUUUGAAGGCCUUUCUUUCCUUUGCUAUGGAACAUGCAGAUGAUACAGGCUUUUACCUGAGGACUUGUCACGAGAGAAAAAUACUGAAAUGCCUCCCAAAAUAGAAUGUAUUAUCUUAUUCCAACCUUUUCCACCUCUAAGAGAUACUGAACAUUUAGAUAAAGACAGUAAAUUAACUUUACAAGAGGCUAAAACUAAACAAGAAAUGAAGAUUACUUACCAAGUUGAUGAUGAAGUUAAAAAGCCUUUACUCUAUUGUAACUAUCACUAUUUUGGUUAUCCCCAAAAGCCCCGAAACCACUGCCAUGUGAACCACCAAAUGUGCUGUUCUGGCUUCACUUUCUACCACCAUAUCGAUCUGAACUACCAAAUCCACCGAAACCCCCUCCUGACCGAUUUGAACCAGGGCUGCCAAAACGGCUAGAACUUGGUCCUCCAAAGCUUCCCGUCUCCCCAUGGCUAGAUCGGCCAAACCCGGAGUUAGUGUAACUGCCAGAACUGGAAUUUCCAUAGCUAGAUCCGCCAAAUCCAGAAUUAGUGUAACUGCCAGAACGGCCAAAUCCAGGACUGCGACCAAAACCUGUACCUCCAGAUUGACGAUCCCUCAUACCUCCUGAAGAACCAAAUCGACCACCACUCCAUCCUCCAAACAUAUCUACUGAUCCACUCUGAACAUUAAUCUUUGCUAGCUGAUAAACAAAAACAUUGGAAUAAGAUGUGAGCAGUUAACAUUAUACGACGUAAAAGUCACCUAUAUAUAAGAUCGUAUAAAGGGAUAAAGAAUCUAAAGGGCAAGAUAAAUAAUUACAGCCAAAAGAUUUGGCCUUUCACAUCUUGAAGAUCAAAUAUGUGCACAGGUAUAAUACAAUCGUAACACGACAGUCGAACAAAAAAUCAAAUAAAACAUCUAAGCACUAUCAAAUUUGGCAAUGACUCAAUUUUCUGUUAAUCCGAUGAAGUAAAAAUGAAAAUCCAUAACAAAAGAACUGUUAAUCCGUUAUUAGUUACUGAGAAUUUGCUGGCUAAAGCCUUGAAAGAUGUACAUAAAGCGAGGACAGUUACUUCCACUGCCAAAUUUGACACAACAGGUUCACCUUCCUCUAACUCAUUAUUCAACAAACAAAGAACUUUAGCCUUUCUCAUCACAUCAUUUCCCAUAAACUCGCAGUUUUAGAUCAGAAUCCUUGUCGUAACAUUUACUUUCACUUAACAUUUUACCCCUCGUGAUCCAAGAACAUACAACUAACAGGUUUACUAAUUAAACCAAAGCUAGAGCUAUGGAUGUAUAUCCAUAAUUGAGAAUGAAAUUGAUAAAAUUUGAUGAGAAGGAAAUGUGCAGUCAGCAUUGCAGUAAUAUCACAAUAUACCAAAACUUAAUGUCUUAUCUAAUUGCCAUCACCCUUUAAGGAUUCAAGGUAUUUUAGUCUGAAUUCUGCAGCUUUGUCCCCUCCCUGCUUGAUAUUAUGAACAUCAAAGGCAAAAUAGACCCUCUUAACAGUUGAACAUGGAUUCACAUUUACAUACAUUUUUAAUCCUUUGAGCACAUCAAUAUAACAUCCCGUAUAAGCUACCAUGGAUUAAUGGGUAGAACUCUGCACUUGCUGUGUGCAGGGACAGCUGAACAUAAAUUGUCACCAACUUGAGCUUUAGUACUUAAGACGCAGUGUAGUGAAAACCUAGGUAAGUUAAAGACAGUCUUUCAUAACUAAAUGACAAACUAGUAAGACAUUCACCAAAAAGCUCCCUAACUAAGAGGCGGCACAUUCAAAUGCCCCUUUAAGGUGAACUGGAUUGAAUAGGCUACCCAUCUUGGUGCAGCAAGGACUACAAUAAUAUUAACAAAGAAAGCUACAAUUGUGAAAGAUAGAAGGAUGGAAAUGGAAAAAAAGCAAAAUCACCUCUGUAAAUUUGCAUCCAACAUCACGCUCAAUAGUCUUCACAGUCCUGAAUUGAUCUUCUGAGUAAAUAAGAAUAGCAGCUCCUUUCUUGCCAGCACGGCCUGUUCGUCCAGAUCGGUGAACAAAUAUCUCUGAUGAACUGGGGAGUUCAUAAUGUAUUACCUGUACGAGAAAACCAAGUAAAAAUUUACAAACAGAUAGAAUAACAGUGUAUGUCAGUGUGUUUACAUAUACACAGAAUAUAUAACAUUAAGGCAUAAAAGAUAAGAGUUAAUAAGAUACACACAAGCAAUUAAUAGGGAAAAUGAAAAAGUAAUACAACAAGGACAGAUAAUAGUGAAGAUAAGCAGUUAGAAAGGAAACAUUACCCCGUAAUUUCCCUUCACCCUCAAAAUUUAGGGAAAUCCAACUAUUAAAAUAUGACAAACAUGAUACCAACAACAAAGGAGGAACUACCAUGUAGAAAAUAUGAGCUUUUCUUAAAACUUAAUCAACUAUCAAGAACCAUGUAUAACACAACAAUUUCAAACAUAAUGUUUAGUAAAAUAAAACUUACGAGAUCCACAUUUGGAACAUCAAGGCCACGUGAUGCAACAUCAGUUGCCACUAAAACAUUGAAAUCGUUGUUUCUGAAACCGGCAAGAGUCCUUUCCCUCUGAGUUUGUGAAAUAUCUCCAUGCAAAGCCUCACAUUUAAGGCUUUUUGCCAUCACAUGUGAUAAUCGAUCAGCAUCACGUUUGGUUUGAGUGAAAACAAUACACUUUCCUCCAUUUGCAUGUUCCUAUCAAAGUAUAUACAAUUAGGAAAGGCAUACAGAAGCCUGUUUAAGAAUCAAACAUACUGAGUUGCAAUCAUUUUAGUAAAAAAUAUAAAAUUAUAAAACAGAUUCUUAUAAUAAAACAUCAAUGAUGUCAUUAAUAACUGAUGCAAACGUAAGGAGAAAAGAUUAAAUCUGAAGUCAUACUGUUAUCAGGGGUACAAGAAUCCCUGCUUUAGUGCGCAUAUCAGACACAAUAGAGUACAGUGAAAUUCCAUCUGCCAACUUCUGAUCAGAAUCUCCAACCUACGGCACCAGUAAGUUCCCAAGUAACGUAUUACAAUCAACAAUAAGGAUUCUGCAAGUUAAUCUCAAAUACUUCUUCUUUACAAAGAAAAAAUCAUGGGAAAAUGUGCACACAAAAAAUCGGUACAUUUAAGUUACUUGUGCUAGAUAUCAACGCAAGAAGCCAAUAGCACCAUCAGAUUUACCUAACCAUCAAACUAAAAAUUGAAUGAAGAUCUCAUGCUGCGGCAUAAAUUCCAAAAUUCUAUAUAAUACCUUCUACAAUGAUAUUUAGAGAAUAAACUUACAUAGAACCACUGUUUUUAAUAAACAUGUCAUAGAAAAAGAGGUUAUACAGGCACAAAUAUAGAAAGCUACAAUUUCUUCUGAAGGUUGAGAACACAUGUACUGCUGCCUGCAUAUAAAUACAGAUUAUAUAAUAUUUAUGACAUCUAUAUACAUAAAAUUUCUAGCCGAAAAAUUACCUUAGCUAACUACAACUUUUACUAAAAGUCUGACACUCUGCACUUUAAUUUUAGGGACACAGAAGAGUUCACAGUCCAACUUGUAGAGUUCAGUACAUGUAUUUAUCCCAGUUGCAUUGAAGACAAUGUGAAGAGGAAACCUUAUAUACUAGUUUCAGAUUGACGGACAUAACAUAAUAUGAUAUAAAUUUGUUUGUAAUUUUUAGGUAUUUGCGUGCAUUAAUGUCAUUUUUUUAAGAUUCUCUCUGUAUGCCCUUUAGUAAAAAAAGAUGAUGUCAGUUAAAACUAUUGUUUAAUGUGUUGGCUGUAUCCAAUAAAUAACCAUGCUAGAAUGUUUCAUAUGUGAUAUAAACUGCCUUAGUUCACCAAAAAAUUGAUUUGUUUCGAUUUUCCAAAAUAAUCUUAGGGCCUUUCUGUGAUGCAAAUCCCUAGGAUAGGGAGAUUCUUAGUUUUAUAACUCAAAGGUACUGAUGGCAGCUAACCCUUAAAGAUUAUAACUUGUCUUUGUAUUUCAUCACAAUCACAAUUAGACACCACAAGUUAUAGCUCUAUUCAUGAGUGUUUUCUGCAUACAAUAUUUUUACCUUGACUUGAAAUCACUGCCAAGUUCUGUGCAGGAAGAUUUUCAUCUAUAUGAAAUUUAUUUCCUCACUGAUCACAAAAUCCUGAGCUUUAGAAGAUUCCGUUAAUUAAAUUUGUUAGGUAUCUUCUAAUUUCUCCUCAAAACUCUCUUUGGCCCAUGUCAUGCUAGACUAGGCAUAAUCCCAACAGAAAUGACAUUUGAAAACUUUAUUAACCUUUCUUACUUGUGCCUAAAAUAGAUUUGUAUACUUACGAGAUCAAUGGUAAGGGGGUUGUUUAGGUAAUUGCGGGUAAUAGUCUUUAUCCAAGGUGGCAUUGUUGCUGAGAACAUAAGAGUCUGACGAUUUGGAGAUAAAUUCUCCAAGAUCUUCUC